rnacentral:lncRNA from 1 species
AAACCCAAGAAAGAAGAAAAAAGCAGAAAAACAAGGGAUAAAAUCAAAGAUGGGGGAUAAAGUUUUGAGGUUUACACAAAAGCAAAGGGAAAUUAACCGGUGAAGCUUGGUGGCUUGUAGGCAAUGAAACUGAUGCACUGGACUUGACGGGUGUUGUCGAAUCCGAUGAUCCUAAUGAAGGCAUUGGGGUACUCCUUCUUGCACUCUUCCACUUCCUUCAACACUUGAGCGGAGUCGGUGCAACCGAACAAGGGAAGCUUCCACAUUGUCCAGUACCGUCCAUCAUAGUAUCCGGGUGAGUUACCGUGCUCACGGUACACAAAUCCGUGCUAUACAAACCACAUGUUACAAACCACUCAGAUAACAUUUUGAACAUGUUUAUAUAAAUCAAGAUCCUAAUAUAUUAAACCAAAUUUUCCUAAGAUCUAGCUAGUUUAUAUAGAUGUUUAAAUUUUGUUUAAUUACCUCCAACUCGAAUUCAACACAAGGAAUCCACUUGUUGCGGAUAAGGUAGUCAACUUCCUUAGCCAAUUCGGAAUCGGUAAGGUCAGGAAGGUAAGAGAGAGUCUCAAACUUCUUCUUUCCAAUCGGAGGCCACACCUAUUUUUUCGAUUUUUCCAAUGAUAUUAGUUUAUGUAGAUUCGAAGAAAGAACCGAAAAAAAUCAUAUGGAAUAAUAAAAAAGUGAAAGAAGAAAUAUAAAUGACCUGCAUGCAGUUAACUCUUCCGCCGUUGCUUGUGAUGGAAGUAAUGUCGUUGUUAGCCUUGCGGGUGGCUGGGAAGGCAGCGGAGGACUUAAGUCCGUUGAAAGGAGCGACCAUAGUGGCCUGAGCCGGAGAGGCAACCAUAGUAGCGGAAGAGAGCAUAGAGGAAGCCAUUGUUCUUCUUUACUCUUUGUGUGACUGAGGUUUGGUCUAGUGCUUUGGUCAUCUAUAUAUAAUGAUAACAACAAUGAGAACAAGCUUUGGAGUGAUCGGAGGGUCUAGGAUACAUGAGAUUCAAGUGGACUAGGAUCUACACCGUUGGAUUUUGAGUGUGGAUAUGUGUGAGGUUAAUUUUACUUGGUAACGGCCACAAAGGCCUAAGGAGAGGUGUUGAGACCCUUAUCGGCUUGAACCGCUGGAAUAAUGCCACGUGGAAGAUAAUUCCAUGAAUCUUAUCGUUAUCUAUGAGUGAAAUUGUGUGAUGGUGGAGUGGUGCUUGCUCAUUUUACUUGCCUGGUGGACUUGGCCCUUUCCUUAUGGGGAAUUUAUAUUUUACUUACUAUAGAGCUUUCAUACCUUUUUUUUACCUUGGAUUUAGUUAAUAUAUAAUGGUAUGAUUCAUGAAUAAAAAUGGGAAAUUUUUGAAUUUGUACUGCUAAAUGCAUAAGAUUAGGUGAAACUGUGGAAUAUAUAUUUUUUUCAUUUAAAAGCAAAAUUUGCCUUUUACUAGAAUUAUAAAUAUAGAAAAAUAUAUAACAUUCAAAUAAAAAUGAAAAUAAGAACUUUCAAAAAACAGAACUAUGUUUAAUGUGUAAAGAUUAGUCGCACAUCAAGUCAUCUGUUACAAUAUGUUACAACAAGUCAUAAGCCCAACAAAGUUAGCACGUCUAAAUAAACUAAAGAGUCCACGAAAAUAUUACAAAUCAUAAGCCCAACAAAGUUAUUGAUCAAAAAAAAAAAACGCCCAACAAAGCUAAACAAAGUCCAAAAAAAACUUCUCAAGUCUCCAUCUUCCUUUAUGAACAUUGAAAACUAUACACAAAACAAGUCAGAUAAAUCUCUUUCUGGGCCUGUCUUCCCAACCUCCUACAUCACUUCCCUAUCGGAUUGAAUGUUUUACUUGUACCUUUUCCGUUGCAAUGAUAUUGAUAGUAUGUUUGUGAAAACUAAUAGGGUUAACAAUCGAAGUCAUGGAAUAUGGAUUUGGUCCAAGAUUUUCCGAGAGCUUUCUAGUAGAAAGCCCAUCACCAGAAAUUUACUAGUAAAAUAAAUCACCAAUUAGGUUUCUUAUUAUGUGCCAAAUUCAAUAUAAUUAUAGAGGAUAUUUCAAAUGAAAACGUAUGAAUGUUAUUAGUAAAUGGUCAGGUAAGACAUUAAAAAAAUCCUACGUCAGAUAUUCAACUUUAAAAAUUCGAUCAGUGUGGAAUUGUACAAAAAUUUGGGAUCUACUAUAUAUAUAUAAUGCUUUACAACACUUGGAUUUUUUUUUGGAGGCUGGAAUUUUUAAUCUACAUAUUUGUUUUGGCCAUGCACCAACUCAUUGUUUAGUGUAAUACUUUGAUUUUGUCAAAUAUAUGUGUUCGUGUAUAUUUGUAUAAGAAUUUCUUUGACCAUAUACACACACACAUAUAUAUAUAUAUAUAUAUAUUAUAUAUCAUGCACUUUUAAUUGAAAAAAUAAUAUAUAUAUAUAUAGUGCAUUUUUUCUAACAACCAUAUAUGUUGCGAUUGAUCUGCAAAAAUACUGCUAGAGUAAUGAAAAAUAUAAUCUAUUGCUGAAAUUAUCUCAGAUGUUAAGAUUUUCUUAAAGUAAAUUCUUUCAAAUUUUAGCUAAAAGUCUUGUAAUAACUAAAGAAUAAUACACAAUCUCGACCACGGAAAAAAAACACAUAAUAAAUUUGAAUUCUGACAGUGAACUCUACUUUUGAAUUCUAAUUAUAGAGUGAAGAAUCUUGAUAGAUGAAAGCCAUAAACAUGUUUGUCGAAACUAGAAAGUACCCACAUAUCAUAAUAAGAUGUUUCUAAUUCCACUUUGAGACUCAGUCAAACAGUUAAUAUCUUGGACAAUAAGAAUUUGUUGACCAAUAAUCCUAUAUUACAAGAAGCCUUCUAUUAUUUUAAUCAAAACAUUGAAGCUCAAGCUCCUCGUAAGGUAAAGAGCCCACAAAAUUCCGAAAACCAUGGAAAACGCGAGUCCCUGGGUUUGCAUUAUAUUUUCUAUAUUUGUUUUUCUUUUCUCCUAAAAUUAUGGAAGUGAUUGGAAGAUACAAGAGGUUUUGUCCAAACAAUUUAAACUCGACGACUAAAAACGUAGGAUGACGCGAUACACACGCGCGGCCAUAUGCAUGCAAACCCCUAUAUUUCUUUUUAAAGUUUUUGGCUCUUUCCACAUUUUUAAAAAUAAAAAUAUUUUUGGACAUUUUUGCAUGGCAUCUUCACCUAUCUCUCCUCCAUUUGUCUUUCUUUUUUCAGUUCAGUGUAUCAUCAACAAGAGUUCACAAACUUUUAUUUUUUACACAUUCAUGGCUUGUUUCUAGUUCUAGAUUUGGAUUUUUCUAGCUUCACUUUUGAUAGAAUUCGGGGGAAAUAGAAAUUGUUAAACCAAAAGGAAGAGUUAACGUUCGAUUCUGUAUCAGAUAAAUCUCUAUAAAGGAUUAUAUCAUUGUAUUAUUCCAGCUAGCACAUAUCCAUUUUCGUAUUUGUCAAUUAAGAGAAUUUGUAUUUAUUUGUUUAUUAUAAGACGACAAUAAGAAAGACGACAAAAAAUUUUAUUCGUAUGCUUAUAUUUUGUAUGCAUCUAUUUUUCUACCUCUUACCUAUGCAUUUUUAUUUUAAUGAAUUAUCAUAUCUGUUUGUCAAUCACUUCUAUAGCAAUAUGAUAAUUUGGUUGAAACUGUAUUUAUCCAUACGUCUAUCUAAACAUGUAUAUAUACCAUUUGAAUUUUUCAAAAACAUAAUAUAUAUACAUAUAGGAAUUAGGUUAUUGACUUAUUGUUUAUCUUACAAUAUGUUAAGUUAUUUGAUAUAGAAAAUUAUUGUACAACUUUAUACAGGUCUUCUAAAUUACCUGAAACGACAACAAAUUUAUUUCAUACUAGUAUAUAUCAUAUAGCAUAUAUAGCUUUCACAUUCGUCUGUAACUGGUCUUUCAGAAAAAUUGACUCUAUAGAGUCUACUAGCUAUAGUUAUGAUUGUUCGCAUGAUUAUAUUAUUAGUUAAAGUGGAGACAAUCGUAUUAAUCGUGUGAUAGCCGGCAGAAGAAAAAAUAAAUCGUUUUAUCCGUUAAAAUUAUAUAUAUUUUGUUUUACUGUAUUUUUCUAGUUUUUAACUAAGUUUUAUCUUUAUAUAAAUAAUUAUAAAUGUUUAUAUAAUGUUUGAUAUACUUAAAUAAAUAUUUUAUCUAAACUUUGUUUGCGAUUUGACAUUUUUAACAUUUUUGAUAGAUAUUUAUAUAUUUUCUAUAAUUUUAAUUUUUAACUGUUUCUAAACCUUAAUAAUAAUUAAUAGAUUGUGUGUGCGUUUUUUUCUUUAUUUUAUUAAAGAAGUAAUAGAAAUAAUUCAAACAUCACCAUUCAAUGAUGGGUGUUUCAAUGGAAGAAACUACCAAAUCUAACCAAUAAACGUUGGCAUCUAUUCACCUAAAAGUAAAAAUUGUAGAGCCUAUAUUAGUCAAAGUGAUCCAUGCAGAUAAUUUAUUAGUAGGUCUUUCGAUAUUAAUGUUGAUAUAUACUAGAGCCUAUAGAAGUCAAAGUGAUUCCAUUAAGAUAAUUUAUUAAGUAGGUAUUUGGAUAUUAAUAUUAAUUAUCAGAAUUAUGUAUGGAGCUACAUAAUGUGUAACCGCUCAGAAAACGCGGCGAUUCGACCAAACUCUGUUACCACAAUGUCUCCGCCACGCGAUCACACUUUUGCGCUUGCAUGCGAACGUUGAAAUUCGAACCUCUCAUCUCUCUAUUUACCAUUUUACCCUCUAGUAAUUUCGUUUUCAAAAUUUACUAUCUCCAAAUAUUUUGGCAGUCCAUUAUUAAUUGCCGAACAUUAAACUGCGGUCUAGACAAAAACAAACGGCGGUCAGAUAUAAACAACUAACCAAAAAAAUAAAAUACUUGACUGGUUUUGGACAUUUUCGUCGAUGAUGAUCACGCGCUACGAAUGAGAGCCAAAGACAAAGCUCAACGGGCUUCCAUAUAUAUUUCAUAUUUAUUAGUAACUAUUUUCCCCAAAAAAAAAAAUAUAUAUUAUUAGUAACUACAAACAAACAAACAAAAUGUAUAAACCAUGAAAAUUAAAGAUUUUAAAAUUUUAUAACUAUACAAAUAGUAUGAGAAGCUUUGUUUAUUUUUAUAAACACAUAAUAACAGUUUGAAAAAAUUACUUACCUAAAUAAAGGUAAUAUUCUCGUAAUUUACUAAAAUAAUUCAUACAAAAUAUAAAAACAAUUACAAAACUCUUCUUUUUUGGGCUCUUUACAUCUUAUUUAUACUUUGAAAAUUACGAUAUCCAUUUAGAGAAAAAUAUAACAUGCACGUCACAAAUUUAUUUAUUUUUUGAAAAAAAUUACACACAAAGAAAACGACAACUUCGUUCCUUGUUAAUUGUUAUGAUCUCUCCGACCAAACCCAAGCAGCUUCUCCCUCUUAAAUACCUCUUCCUUCUUCUAAGAUCUCUGGACCAUUCUGUACUUUCCCUCAAACCCAAAACACAUUUUGUUUUUUGUUUCCCAUCUAAAAUGCGUAUGAGUUGUAACGGAUGUCGAGUUCUACGAAAAGGCUGCAGUGAAAACUGUAGCAUAAGACCUUGUCUUCAAUGGAUCAAAUCCGCUGAAUCUCAAGCCAACGCCACCGUCUUCCUCGCCAAGUUUUAUGGCCGUGCGGGGCUCAUGAACCUCCUCAACACCGGUCCUGACCACCUCCGUCCUGGUAUUCAAACUUCCCAUGCAUGUUAUGUUUUUUGUUUGUUAUGGUUAAUUGCGAAGUUCUGGACGGAAUCUCUCAUACAUCUUUUUAGGAAACGUAGGAUCCUGUUUAUUUUUCUAACAUGCAUCUAAUAAUUUGGUAAUUUUGUUUGUUUUUGCAGCGAUAUUUAGAUCAUUGUUGUACGAAGCAUGCGGGAGGAUUGUGAAUCCGAUAUACGGAUCCGUGGGGUUAUUGUGGUCAGGAAACUGGCAUCUUUGUCAAGCGGCCGUUGAGGCAGUAAUGAGAGGCUCACCCGUGACUCCGAUCGCAUGCGACGCAGCGGUUACUGGUCAAGCACCUCCUUUUAACAACAAGCUUUGCGACAUAAGACACGUGUCAAGCAGGGACGAGAACGUUAAGAGACGGAGCCGUGGUGCAUGCAAGGAAGAGAGAAACGUGAGGUCUUUGAGUCAUGAGUCGUCACUGAGUCACGAGUCACCGGUGUCUUCUGAGGAGACGACGACGGAGGAACCAAAGACUUGGAUCGGGCUUGAGCUGACUUUGGGGUUGGAGCCUUUAGCACGUGGAAAUCACGUGGUGGUACCGAUGAAGAAAAGAAAGUUAGAGAGGUGUGGCACGUCUGAGGAUGAGGACACGUGUAAGAUUGAGCUUGGACUGGUGUGCAGUGAGUGAAUGGUUCUUUUUUUGUGGCUGGUCUUAAUUACAAGUUUUGGUGUUGAGUUUUAGGUGUACAAAUAGAGAUUAACGAAUCUCUCUUUUUUCUCUUUUUGAGUUUUAUGUUUUGUUUUGUUUUCUUUUGCAUGUUCGGUGUUCUUCAUAAAUAUGUAUGAUGAAUGAUAAAGAGGUCUUAACUUAACAAAUCUUGGUUCGGAUCGACAUAACAAACAUUUCUUCUUUCCAUUCUAAAUUCUUGAUUUUACUCAUGUACUUAAACAAACGAUGCAAUUGAUGUAAACACGUUUAUCCCAAUAAAUUUUGUAUUUUAUUUAUAUAAAAAAAAACUUAACAAAUCUUCUAUUUCAGAAAUAUCUGGGGUUAGAUUACAAAGAAUCUAAGUUGCUUAAUGAUGAAAUCUCCAUAUGAUGAUUAGUCAUUCAUUUAUAAAUAUUUUGUCUCAAAAAGCCCUUUUGUAUGUGAACCGUGUUACCAAAUGACUCAGCAGCUAACAUGCAUGUGUGUUAGAUUUUUGUUCUCGAAGGAUAUGUGUAGGAACUUAAUUAGCUAGAGAAAACGAAAAGGAUGAAUUAUUUUAACUAAUUGGGUCGAAAUGUGUAUUCAGCAGAAAACAUAGCCCAACUCUUUCGGACUUGAAUCCUGUUUUGUCCAUCUAUCUUCCCCCCCUAUACACUCAAUUCUCAUACUAUCAGAUAUGCUAAAAUAAUUAAUGCAGUUUCUAGCCUACAGAUAUUUUGGGCUGUUGUGACUUACUUUUUGAUAAAUAAGAAGAUACUUUUGUUUCCAUAAAUUUUGAUUUCAGAAACUAAAAGUAUUAUAAGCCAAAAAAAUCAAUAAUAUAUGUAAAAUUAUUUGUAUGGUGAGUCUGUUUUAAUUGUAAAGCUAUUCAGUAAAAUGCAGUUUGCCAAAGUUAAAUCAUUAAUUAAUAUAUAUUUUUUCGGUUAACGGAUAAAAUAUAUAUUAAACUGCAUUUUAUACUUUUGUUUUUCCGUUAAUUGCCAAAGUAUAAAAAUCAUUCAAACUUUUGUUUUUCCGUUAAAUCUAGAGAAACUAAUUAAUAUAUAUUUUUUCGGCAAAAUGAUCGAUUUGUCUCUUUCUUCUUUCAAUAUUAAAAAUGAAGAUGAUGUAGAGAGAAAGUGUAGAAGUAGAACCAACAUUUAUCAAUACAGAAUGAUUUUUUUGGUUAAAGGAUAUCAAUACAGAAUAUAAUACGUUCAUAUACGGUGAACGUCCAUGCAUAUUUUACGAUUAUUAAUUCAUAUUUCUAAUUUGAUGGUACUUUUUUUUUUUUUUUUUUUGUAUGAAUGUAAAAUUUAGUCAUUAAAAAAACCCAUGGUUACAUGCAAUAUAUGCUUUUCUGAGCAAAAUUUUAAAAAUGAAAACAGGAGAAUAAGUGUUGAGAGAGAAACUGAAGUUUAGUGAUCGAGAAUGCAAACAGACCUCAUGCCCUCGUCCUAAACCAUUCACGCAGGCAAUCAUUGAACUUGCCCUGACGUUGUAACGUUGAUAGGCGAUUCCAAACAGUACUGUCAAUGUCCUUAGAUGGUAGCUAAAAUUAGAUCUUUAUCUGUAUUCUGCUUUUAAACUACGUGGAGAAAUAAUUGAAUGAAAUCGUUGAAACAUUUGUUUUGAUUAUACGAAUUUUUAAAGUGAUUUUUGUUUUGAAAUCUGAUAACUCGAAAAUAUGAGUUGGAUAGUUCUACUGCUACAUGAUUUCAGAAUGUAAACUCAUAGUCCGAAUGGUGACGACGUAUUUGAAAAGUGGUUUGAUAGUGCGAUAUGGUCCAACUGCGGUACAUGUGGGAAAAAUAUAUUUGCGGAAUAAGUACGGUUUUUAUAAAAUAAGCGGUACGAAAUAAUGUUUGAUUGGUGAAGAAUAGUAUUUAGGAUACAUAUAUAUAUAUUUUUAUAAUAUUUUAUUUUAUAAAAAUUAUUAUUAUUUUAAAUAAAAUGAUGUUAUUUGGUAAACUUAAUACAUACUAGAAAUUUCAGAAUUUUUUAAAUUUAAAAAUAUAUAUGUAUUAUAUGUAUAUAUACACAUAUAUAGACAAAACAAAAAACGCAUCAUAAUUGGUGAUACACAAAACAUGUGCGGUAUUGAGAUAAAACAGACCAAACAAAAAGAAUUUGAUGAGUGCGGUCUAAAAGUUAAAAUACACGAUGUGUGACUUGAAUGGUAACAAGUUAAAAAUACCGCAUGUAAAAACGCUAUAACGCGUCGCACAAUCACACCCUCAAUCAAAAUUUUUAACUUGUGCGGAAUUUGAUUCUUUGCUAUGGGCAAUGGAAUGCAUGAUCUCUAUUGGCGAUACUUCUGGCGCUUUUGCUUCCGAUUGUUCAGACCUGAUUUCUAUCAUUGACAACCAAGACGAUUGGCCGACAUUCGCAGCGGAAUUGGCAUCCUAUCGCUCUUUAGUUUGUUUUUUUCCUUUUUUUGUAUUAGAUUUCUUCCUCGUAGUUCUAAUACUCGAACAGAUUGUUUAGCUAAGAAAGUUCGGGCUCGUAAUAGCCUUUUCUUCCAUGUAAGCAUAUUGGUUCCUGAAUGGCUCUCUCUACCAGAAAGUAUCUUUCCGAUAACUUAAUAUAAAUGGUGUUUGAGGAAAAAAAAAUAUAAAAAAAUCACACCCUCAAUCUGUGUGCUUUAAUGGGUGGGGUGACAUCAGCCGCAUGAUUUCAGAGCUAAAGAUCUCUACAAUGUGAUGUGACAACAAACUACUUUACUUUAUUUUUCAUAACCAAUUUAUGCAUUAUAAAAUCAAUCAUAUUAUUUCAAUAUCAACGUCAAGUCAUCGAUUUACCCUGUAAAAGAUAGACCUGUAGUUUACGAGUUGGAGUUAAGUGGUUUCAAAUUUCUUUUUCUCGUCAGUGGUUACAAACUUACAAUUUAAAAUUUUUAUCUUAAGCUCUCCUCUCUUCUCUCUCCAAAAUCUUUCAGAGAGGAGAGCUUGAUAAUCGUUUUGUCUCCAGUUUGAUCCGGAUUUGUUUAUAUUCUCGUCUCUAUGCGAGAUCAAUAAUUUCCGAUUACAUAUCGGAUCUUCUGUUACCGACUAUGACCGGUCUUUUCUCCGUUUUUAACGGAACUUGAUCUUUAUCUCCAUUGUUGCUCACCCAUCGAUCUCAACGUUUUCUUCCAAGAUCUUUGUUGUCUCCAUUUCUUCGUGGAUUAACAUCUUCGUCACCUCCGAUUGCUCAAGACGCAAGAGCAAAAAUGGACUUUAGACUACAUCAAGAUAGAUGUAAUCGGUGGUGGAGUCUCCCGAAACUGGUGAUUCCAAAGAAUUUGUGAAGCAGCUCUACCUUUUAAUCCGGUAAAUGAUUUCGAUGCUUCUUUUGAUUGGAGUGGAGAUCGGCAGGAAGGAACAGUCUACCCAUCGCACUGAUCGGCGGUGGUUGAUCGGAGACGGCGGUGUUUAGCAACGUGAAGACGGCAGCGCUCGAUUCCUGACGCGUGGAUAGGUAGGGUACACGUCUCCAACACGUGUCAGAAGCUAGAAUUAUAAUUUUUAUGGACCGUUCUUCUCGCAUGUACUUGUUAUUGGGUUUUUCCUUACUGUACUUGUCCUAUGGGCUUUUUAAUAUAAUCUUUCGCCGGAAAAAAAAAAAAAAAAAAAAUCUUAUCUUAAAACAAUAAUAUUAUAUAUAACAGAAUGAGGAUUUUUGCGUCUAAUCAUUUUGAAAGGAUAUAUCAUAUGCAGGCGUCAAAAAGGUGACCCAUGUACACAAACACAACUGCAAAAUUGAUAUUUUAGUCAUUUAUGCCAUGUAGACAAUGAUUAUUUCGUAAGAAAAAAGUGUGUACAUUGCAUACAAAUUGCAACACACCUCCACCACGAAUUACUUCUACAAUUAUAAUGUCAAUAUAUAGUAUCGCAUCCUGUAAUGUUGGUGUAACAUGGUAAAUUCGGUACAUUCACUCUUUUAUGUAGCUGAGAAAUUUUGUACCUUGGAUUUGUUGUCUUUGGAAUCAUGGAAUAGAAGAUUAAUGUAUACUUGGAUAAACUAUCAAUUUUUUGUUACAGUUAAGUUAUUAGUCACACAAAAUAAUAUUGCUUUCCAUCAUUUACACAAUUUGUUUGUGUCUACUGUUUACUUACGUAGAAUUGUGUUAUAUAUUAAAUGAAAAUGUGCGUAACAUCUUUUGUAUCAAAUGAAAGGUUGUAGAUGUGACACAAAAAAAAAGAAUAUUGUUUACAAAAGUUUUCUUUCAACAUAAAGUAACUGGGUUAUUGCUAUUUUAAAAAAAAAACUAUAUAUCAUUUUCUCGCAAAGUUUGUGAGAAAAUUACUAUGAAAUACUCGGUUAUAAUUAAUAUGUUUUCUUGCAGUUUACUUUUAAACUUAUCAUUGCUCUUUAUAAGUGUAUUUAAUUUUAUAUUUUAUAAAUACUAAGAUUGAAUGAUUGAUUAGCACGUAAUGUACUAAUGGCUUUAAUAUAUGUGCACCUUUAAUUUAGUCUUUUCCUACCAGCAAUUUAAGCACUAGAGGUAAUCUAGUUUCCAUUACCUGCUAAUCAAUGUCACGGUUACCUGCUAAUAAAUCGUACUCUUGAAAACAUAUAGAUUAUUAUUGACAACCAUUAUUUUCACCAUGUCACGCACGGUUCAUUUAAUCAAAUUUCAUGUAGUAUCUUCAUUAUUUAUCCCAUGUGCUAAGUUUUUACUGAUUAUACGUACAUACUUAAUACUCUUUGUUUUUUGAGCAAAGACGCACAUACUUAAUACUUUGAUACGGAGAAAACGCUUAUUACUAAAAUUUGACUCUCUAUAGAACUUCAGUUGGGUGAUAUUCAAAUUAGCUCUCAUUAAUUAAUAUAUAUGGUGCAAAACAUAUAAAAACCAACAAGAAAAUCAAUAAGAUAAAAAUCAAUAACUUUUUUGUAGAAAAUAUAAAUGAGGAAUGGACAUAUAAGAGUUAAAAGUUGGCAUUAAUUAUAUAGAAUUACAAGUUGACAUUCUUCUCCGUUAUGAAAUAAUGUGCUUUAUUGAUUCAGACACUUAAAAUAUUGGAAGAUAAGAUGCAAAAAUCAAGCUUAUAAUCAUUAUAAGUGCUGACCUAAAACAAAAACAAAAUAAAUUUAAUUAAAAAAGAUCAACUAGCUAGUUACCCCCAUCACUUAUCAUUCCUAUUAUUUGUCAUGUUUCUUUAUUAUUUAAAGGCCUAUCUAGAUUGAACCCAUUUUACUAUAUAAUUAUGAGUUUCUUUAUUCUUAUAUUAAAAAUUCACCUUUUUACUCUAUAGAGUCCAAAAAAAUAAGAUUAAGACCAACUGUUUUUGGCUUAGGUCAGAGAACAUAAUGUGACCUUGAAGCCAAAUAUAUAAACAUAAUGUGACCUUACACAGAUACAACCGUCAAAACCCUUCAUGCGUUUUUUUAAAUUUAUUUUAUGAAAAGAUAUUUUCUUUCCAUAUAUCUCCAACUAAAGUAAUAGAAAUUAGGGAGAGGAACUUCUUUUUAUACUUUAAUUUGACAUUGGAGCACCAUUUUAUUUUUGGUUUAGGAAACAAUCUUCUUAAAUCUUACGAGUGCACUGUCCAAAUCGAUUAUAUAUAAUUGUAAUACUCGACAUUUCUCUGUUUCUGCUGGAAUAAUGUUGUUAAUUUUAGUUUAAGUUUUUAUGAUUUAGUGACUAAAUUAACAUAUUGAAUUUAAGAUGUUGGAAUUAUGAUUUAUUAAUGCAUUAGAGUUCAGAUAUAUAAAACAAAUCAAAAUUGGCAAUUGAAAAUGAAAACAGUAAACAGUGUUUUACAGAGAAUACUUAUAGAAACAAAAUAUAUUACAAACAACAACGUUGAUUUUUAAAGUUUCUGAUUUUUUUAUGAAGUUCUGAAAAUAUGUGAAAAUUUAUAAAAAUAUGUGAAAGUUUCCCAAAAGACGUGAAAUUUUCAAUAUCUUUUGAAAUUUCUUUUCUUCUCCUCAAAAUGUCCAAACAUGCUGUAAAAUAUGGUAACCAAUACUCAUAAAAAUCAAAUGUUUUAGCACACGAUGAAAGUUCCAAAAGAGAAAAGUUAAUUACUAUGAAUUCAUGAUGGUUUCUGUUAACAAAAAUGUGAGUUAUUUGAGUACAUUAAAUUUCCAAACGAGGCUAUCUAAUGAAAUAAGCAUGUCGACAAAAAAGUACAUAGAUAAAAGCUCCUUGACCUAAAAUAUAUACAUAAGUCUGUGGACAAAAGAAAGUAUACAUAUAAACUGUUUAAAAACUGGUAGCCAUCAACCCACUUUUCACCCUCUUUCCUAUGAAUUGCAAUGUGGCUUUCUAUUAGACUCACGAUAAAAUCAUUCGUCUUGGUAAAUGGUUUAAAAAAAAAUAGUUCUAACGUUAAAUGUUGAUUGAUGCAGUGCAUUUCCACUUCGUUUUGAGUUUGUAUCUUACCAUUAUUUUUUUAGAAGUUGACUUUGAUUUCCAUGCAUAUUUUGGAGUUCAUGAGUCUCGAUAGAUUCUUUUUUUUCUUUCUCUCAAAUGUUAUUAAUUAGCACCAAAGGUUUUCUCCUCAAAUAGAGAGUAAUUAAAGGUUACAGAUUAAUCCCCAAUGGAGUAAGACCAAAAAUUACAGAUUAGUAAUCAAAUAGAAUUUCAAUAGAGACAUUGGGGGAGAAGAACUUUAAGCAAUCGCUCUUCUCAAGCAAAGAUCAAAUUCAAUGGAAACAAGAUCAUCUCUAAUUAAAAAAAGAAAAGAAAGACAAUCUCUAAUUAAAAGUAAGAAGUAAACUUCAUGUAUAUGAGACAAAGAAAGAGUAUCAUUUUGUUUUUGUUCUUGUAGAUGAGUCAAAGAAAGAGUAUCAUUUGGUGUCAUGCAUGGCGAAAGGAGACCGACCAGAGUGUCAUCUGCUUUCAGAGUGCACGUUGGAUAGAGGAAUUAUAAAUUUAUAAUCAUGCAUGUUGUACAAUAUUACUACAAAUUAUCCAAAUAUUGUAGUUAAAAGAUAUUUUGUUGUUUUGAAGAAUAUAUAGUUUUGAAAUGAAGAUAAUGGAUAUGUUGUUAUAUAAUUAAUUACGAACGCACAACUCAAAAUGUCUCGCUAUGUUUUAAUUAACUUGCAAUCUAUUUCAAUUUACAAUUAUAUAUAUAAAAAAACUCUUUAUUAUACUCAUUUCAAAAUCGUUUCAGUUACAAAUCCCUCAUGUCACUCAAAAAUAAGUACUCUCUCAGGAAGCUUAACUAGAUAAUUCUCCCUUCAUAGAUCAAGUGGCUUCAAAACUAAUUGAACUCCAUACUUAGGUUUUAUAGUAAGCACAACUAUAGGAGCAUGUCUAUAGUUCUCCGAUAUUGCAAAACUGAAUUUGGAAACAAGCAUUGCUAAUAUUAUCUUCGCCUCCAUCAUGGCAAAAGUCUGGCCAAUGCAGUUCCUAGGUCCAGCCGCAAAAGGCAUAAAAUGGCGACUAGAUGCAAAACUUCUAGUAGUAAAUCGUUCAGGGUUGAACUCGUUCGCAUCUUCGCCCCAUAAUUCAUUACUAUGAUGGAUCGCAAGGACAGGGAUCCAAAUAGAUAAACCUUUAGGGAUGAUUAGGUCACCUAGUUUUAUGUCUUCAAAUGCCAUUCUUGGUAAAAGUGUGGCAGGAGGGUAAAGUCUUAAUGACUCGUUUAUCACUUUGUUUAACUGUUGAAAGAAGAAAAAUAAAGAAAGAGAGAUAAGUUAGUUGAAUAUUAAAUUACAUAAAACCCUUUUAAGAUAUCAUAUCUAACAAUCUUGUGAAGUGCCUUAUGACUCUUUCACAAAGAUCCCUUACUUGGUUUUAAGAAUUGCCUUUCAAGCUGUCCAAAUCGUUUAAUGAAUGAUUUCUUUUAGUAUUUUAUGCAAAGCAUGUUGUAGUGCUAAUUUUUUCAACAAGUGGAAUAUUUUACUUAUCUCAUUAUUAAAAUAUGCCUUAGUUCGAUUUUAAAUGUAGAAAGCCAAUUCAUCAUGAGUCUCUCUAUUGGUCUAUCUAAUCAAAUGUCGAAGCAAUGGUAAUGUAAAUUUCACUUUAGUCUAAUAAUUAAAUACCUGAAUUUGUUAUAUGUCAUACAUUUGAAAUGAAUUAUCUGACUUGAAACUACAUAUCAUAAUUAAUGGGAUAACAUAUUAAGAAGAUUUUCUAGAUAUAUCAUAUUAAAGUUGACCGGAUAUGUACUAAUUGAGAUUUAGUUACGGAAGAAGCACUACGACUUAGUGGCAUUGCCUGUAAGUGUGUUGAAUGAACGUAGUACCCCACCCGCACCCAUAACAAUUGGCGUUACCAUCAAAUUUUUAUUUUAUUUUUCAAAUGAAAGAUAUAAUUGUGAUUCUAUCCUAAUUCUCGACCAAAGUCAAAACUUUACUAGACAUGUGUAUAUGCAUAACAACGCAUAAGACAUUAACACAUAGUAUGUUUCAAUUUUUUAAAAUGUUAUACUAUUGUCUUCACUUCUUUUAAAAUCUCAGAUUUUUUUUAUAAGAUUCUUAUCUUUUGUAAAACUGUAAUGGAAACGUGAAACUCGUAUGAUCUUUCUCUUUCCGUUUGCUUUUAAAACAUUCAAAAAGAGUUCGGAGUUUUUGUUUUGGUCAACUAGAUCACCUUUACUCAUUUAUUUUAUUAUUUACAUAGGUUUGAAAGCGAACCAAAAAAAUAAAAAAAUAUAGAUAACGAAUUCUAACUUUACUAGCGAGAAAAUUACCUACCUCACGAUUAGAGAAGGAAAGAUAUAUAACAAUGUGGAAAUAAGAAAGACUCUAAAAGCUACGAUUUUACGUUCGAGAAGGACAUAACGCCUAAUUAACGAUUAAUUGAAAUUUUAUUUUUUUAUUAUUGAUUUUUAAUAUUUUGUUGAUAAAAUUUAAAUAUGAUGUUAAAAAAUUUCUAGAUAUAUUUUCCAUAUUCUAAGUAUUUUAUUAAAACCAAUUAGAAAUAUAAUAUAAGGAUGUCUAAGCUAAAAAAACAAUAGUUGAAUUUAUAGGUUUCUAAGCGGCCGAUAGAAAGGUGAUAAGAAUUAACCAUUGUUCCAUUGAAAAAACAACGAAGAAAGGUGAUAAUGUGAGUGAAAAUUAAGAACGUACCGAAGUAAGACUUGAGAGCUGUUCAACGGAAGGGACACCAUCUUGGCCACAAACUUGCCGGACCUCAUCGCGGACAUUGUCCUGCCAAGUGGGAUUAUGAGCAAGGAGCAUGAGAGUCCACGUGAGGAGAAGAGAGGUUGUCUCAUGACCGGUAAAGAAGAAAGUCUUGCACUCAUCCAUUAUCAUUUGAACAUUAAGGUUGUUCUUGUUGCUAUCCAUCUGGUUCAAAAGAAGCCCUAAGAGGUCAUCCCCGUAUGAGCUACUCCGACCGAUCUCUACACUGUCUUUUCGGCUGUCUAUAAUCUCCAUCAAAAGACGUUCCACUUCCGUUUUCAGAGACUUUAUUUCUCUAUUGUAUUUGCUAGGUAGAAACCUUUGAGACACAAAAGAUUAUAUAGUUACACGUUAAGUCAUCAAUUAGAUCCAUGCAAAUAGUAACCAUGUCAAAUAUUUUUAUCUUUCCAAUUUAAUAUGUUAGUGGAUAGUUUAUAUUAUCAACGUUUCAUUAAAUUAAGUACCACUAUAUAUAGAAUCGUGAAAACCAAAACAAAAUAUAUUAUUAACGUUUUAUUAUUCUUUUAGGAAAAUUUAUUUAAUUAAAAAACCGCAAAAUGACAAAAAGUUAGUAGAAUCAUAGAAUGAUUUAAUAUAAUUACUUGCAGUUCGUAACACAAAACAAUCAAAAGAAAGAUUUGUGAAAAAAGAAAAAAACUUACCGGCUACCGGGAAAACAGAGGUGGCGAGUGGCUUGAGCACAAAGACGUUGAAGUACAGUGAGUAGACUAAAAAGCUCCUUUCCUUUAUCACAACUACUUCCAAAUUCCGUCCUCGAUAUUAUAUCCGCCGUGAGCCGCCGCAUCUCCUCACCAAUUUCCACCUCUUCUCCAACCUCCUUUCUCAGCCUCUCAGCCAUCAUCUUCGUGCAUUCCACCAUAUGCUUAGCGUAUCCUUUGAGCCUAUCACGUGUGAAAGCCGGAGCUGCCAUGUGACGUUGGUGGUGCCAAGCCUCGCCGUUGGCCAUGAGAAGCCCACGCCCUAUAAACCCUUUAGUUCCUUGUUGUUGCAGCCAUGAUUUCCCGGUGACCGGAUUGUGCUUCGUUAGCAAUUCUUUAAUCAUCUCGGUCUCCGUUAGGCAUAGUCUCGGUUCUGUCCCGUUCCACAUUAUAAAUCUCUUCCCUGCAAAAGGCCAUUUCAGUCAUUUUUGAAGUGUGUAAUAAAAUAGAAAAUGCAUUGUAGGCAUGUCCGGUCCAAAGCAUAAGCAAAGGAAAGAAACUAUAAUUAUCCGCUUCAUAUUUUACGUUAAUAUUUGGGGAAAACAGAUUUUAUGUAGCAUAAGAAGAGACGUUUAAGAAAAAAAUUAAAUGGACAUCCGAAAACGUUGAACUGGUCAUGGGUACAUACCAUAUUGUUUGGACCAAGAGACGUAAUGAGGAAGAAGGCGUGGGACGAUGUUGUGGUGGAUGGAAGAGCAGUCGUUAGAAGCGGAGUGAGAGAGCAUUUUGGAGAUAUCAAUGAUGUUUCCGGUGAGGAGACGGGGUUUAGGCCCCGUGAUGCCUUGACGUUCCAUAAACUUCUUGAUUCGUCUUGGUGUGAGGAAGUAGCAACAAAUGGAGUCGUAUAGGACUCUUAAUAUCAAGGUCAUGACUAUCACGAGGACGUACUUUAGUACUAAUGUAACCAUCAUCUUUUUAAUUUCUUUGUUUUAUUAAAAAAAUAAACAAGAUUUUGAGAAAGAGAGAAAGAGAUGGUUUGGUGAGAGAUACGGAACAACCUUGCAGAGUACCAAAGCAUAUAUUUAUAGUGCUGCAGAGGAAGCAGUGGAGUUAAAACGAUAAUUCUUAUUCUUGUUAUUUUAUUUAGUCAUUUUUACUUUUUCAAAAAUGUUUUCAGCUUUUUCAAAACAAAUACUUAUUUAUUUGUAUUCUUAACACGACUUCCAUUUUAACAUAGAAACGAAUAUUCAAGAAAAUUCGUCGACUAAUGGCAGAUCCUAAAUUCAAUUAUUAUUAUUUUAACAGAUACUGUGGCUUCUAGUUUAUGAUUUAAAGAUUUUAUUUGUAAGUAAUUCCUCAAAUUAAGUAUGAUUGGUGAAAGUUGGUUGCUAUCUAGAAAACUGUGAAAUUUCUUUAAAAUCAGAUUUUCUUGUAAAGAGAGUAUAGUUGAGAAAGUAGUAGAUUUUUAAUAAUAACUUUUUAAAUAUACAUAUAUGUACAUACAUAUAUACAUAUAUUUUUAGUAACGAGAAUAUAGCAUAUACAAGCUGGAAAUAUUAUUUAUAUAGAAAAUGAUAAUAAAUUGCAACAUAGAAAUAUUUAUCCACUAAAAAUGUUGGGGACAAAAAUUUGCGGUUCACACCAAGCAUUAAAAAUAUUUAUACUUUCAAGAAAAUAAGAUCUGUUCAAUCAUUUAUGGUAUGAUAUAUUUUAUUUUGGUCUAUAUGGGAAUUUUGUUCCAUAGUUACUUUUUCUUUUCUUUGGGUAGAGUAUUACAUAAGAACUAUUUAAACGGCUUUCUUGUUUUUUCAAAAAUGCCUAACUUUAUUCUUGCAAAACGUAUCUGAGUCAGAUCCGAAAAUUCAUUCUUUUUCAUAUUGGCAAUAACCAGAUUUAUGUUUACGUGCUUAUCUACUUGGGUGAUUGAAAUCAACUAAUCAAGGGCACUUGUUUGAGUGCAUUGAGCUGCUCCAUUUCCUCAUUUAAGAUUUAUAACACUUUCUAAACUUUCAUAAUUGUUAGGUUUAAACGUUUCUGUAAUCUUUUACUGUUAUUAUGUUACAUAUGAAGGACCAUAAAAGUAAGAUUUAAUAAGUAUAUUAAAGUUUUAAGCGUACAUGCAAUUUGUUAAAAUUAAUAUUUUGGUGAAACAAAGAAAAUCUUGUUUGAUAUUUUGUUUGUUUGAUUGAAGUUUUAACAAUGCGUAAAUAUUGUUUCAUUGACAUUUUCAUUUUUUGCAACAAUUUUGUGUCUACAUUAUCGCUAUUACCACAUUCUUUUCGCUAUAUCGCCGAUUAAUUGUAUCAAAAACAUCAUAUAUUUCGUUUCUACAAUUGUAAAGUAUGUAACCAACAAAUCCAUUUUUUCAUGUCUAAUAGAUGGUACAUCUCAGACUUGAAUUUUACUAUUAUUAUUAUUAUUAUUAAAUAUCUCAAUCUAAAGCGAUUCAGAGAGAUAUUCAAACUCAGUUUUAGGAAGAUUUGUUAGUUACAUUGCAGCUCUCUUCUUCUUCAUUUUUUUUCCCUGUGAUUGGCUUUGUUCAUCUUCGAUGAUGGGAGUGGGAUUGACAAGUCGUGUUCUUUAGAAAUCGUAUGCUUCUUUCAUAAUUUUAAUCAAAACAAACAGUAAAAAAUUGACUGAAAAAUAACAUAUUACUUGUGUUUGUAAAAUUCUAAAAAUGGUUUUCAAAAUUUUCCCCAAAAAUGGUUUUCAAGAAAUUGGAUAUAUCAUACUUUUGGAUCAACUGUAGAGAAAGCAAUAAAGAAGGAAAGGACACAAGAGAGAUUGGGUGGAGUUUAGACAAAUUUAAGGGUCUCCAAAACAUUAGGCUGAACACAAUAGAUAUGGUGAUGCCUACUGUUUGAAAAACGACUAGAUAAGGGAUUAUGGACUUGGAUGACUUAUUUGGAAUGAAUUUAGCCGGCUUGGGCAUUGUGGAAAGACGACGGAUCAGGUUCAAUGCUCUCCCGAAGAAAGCAGAAUGUGCCAGCUAAACAAACUGUAAUGUGACUGUUGUUCCAAAUCAAUGUUAAAAUAUAAUAAAAAAUGACAUUAAGAAAAAAUACUGUUUCAUUCGCACUUUUAAUAUAGAAAUGUAUUUACUUAUAGCAUUUUUAACUUGUACUCUAGUAAUUUGUAAUUGUAAUAUUGAUGUUUAAAAAAUAUUAAUUUGAUCUAAACAAUUGAUGUCGUUACAGGUAUGUCGAUUUAUAUACUUUUUAUGAUUAGAAAGAAGAUUUGCCGUCAAUUACAAAAGCAAAAGCAGUGAUGGGUAAAGAUUGCGUAUCUUGGGAAAUGAAUAUGAAAAGCAAAGAAAACUUAUACACAUCAUAAUAAUCUCGAGAAAACAAGCUUGCCAAGAUUUCAACAAUCCACUUAAAAUAUUUAAAGAGAAUUAAAAGAUAAACAUAUCUGAAUAUUCUUUCUAAUAUUAUCUCCACUGUUUUAUUUACUUUUCUCGUCACUUUCUUCUUUGAAGAACAUGUUUGGUGACAAAGUCAUUCCGUAACAACCGGUUAUAUGGAUAUAUUGUACACGUUAUAAAUAAGAAAGAGUAUGUUUCCUUCACUUUGAAUAUACAUAUUGAGCUUAAUUCGUGCUAUUUACUAACCAGUGUUGUACAAAAUGAUUUGGAUGACUGUUUGUCUAGACGGACGGACAUUCUAGACAAACAGUUUUGUGACGGUUGUGUAUACGAUACCUAUAUAUUCGAUCCUGGUAACUGUUAUAUAGAUGUUAACUUUACUAAAAAUAAAAAAGUGAUUCAAAAGUUCAUGAUAUACUUUUAUUUUAUUUUGAGUAUAUUUUUUUCCUUAUGACUGCAUAGUUUUCUUAAUUUUCAUGUGAACAAGUUAGUGUGUGAGAAUUCUGUCUGAAAACUUCUUAAUACAACCAAAAGAUAUUUCAAGAUACUACUAUGCGAAUAUGUCACUAGAGUAACUCAUUUAAUAGUUUAUCAAAUGGACAUAUCUAAUAAAGAAUCUAGCGGAUCCUUCUCACAGUGAGUGACAUCCAAAUAGAUAUCGUUGAAUUAGAUACAUAAAGAUUCCAUUUAAAGAAGAUCAGAAUGUAAUUAAUAUACAAUUAGUAUUAUUUAGUCAAAGAUUGUAGAAUCAACAAAGAGGAUCAGAAAACCUUAUUUCAACUUUUAAAUGAGACUGAACAUUCUUUUUCCUACAACGUGCAACACAAUCCCAUGGCAUGCCAAGUAAAAAAGUGGAAACUUGUAGAACAAUCAAUCCCCAUAUUAUCAUGAAGUUUCAAAAGAAACCUCAGAAUUUUAUUUCUUCUGAAUACAUACCCAUUUUGUUUGGUCAAGUCAACAAAUGAUCAUUCUCUUUUCUAUGCCAUGAUAAAAUUAGUCGGCAAGUACUUAAUUUAAUCCUCCAAUUAGUGUACCAACUACUAAUGCAUAUAUAUAGUAUGCCGACUGUUUUCAUAGACUUAACCUUUAAUUGUUAGAUUUUUUUUGGAUCCCAAAAACAAAGAACGACUAACUUUGUUUCUAUUAUGCUGCUAACAGAUUUGCCUUGUUCAUAUUCAUGAACAUUUCUGUGUUACCUUUUGUUGUCAAUGUAACAUACGAAUUUGAAUGAGAUCGACUCCGAUCAAAUAUUAAAUUUACAUUAAACGUAUAUUUAGAUGUUGAAAAAACUUGUAGCACAGUUAAUCACCCGAUUCAGCAUUUACAUUGCCCCUGUAGUGACUAACUUUGUUACUGAAAAUUUUUAAAUCUGGUUAAAGUAAUUUCUUAGUCCACUGAAUUUUUGAAAUUUGUAAUUAAAAUAAGGUCGAGUUUUUAACUCAGGAAAACUGGGUGACCGAAAGUAUUCAGAUGAAGAAGUCAUAUAUCACUGUUAAUGAUUAAAGGGCUGCUGACCCAAAAAAGUGAUUCAUGUGACUUUAUUACAUUUUAAAUUGUUUACGAGAAUUUUCUUCUUCGGGUCAAAAGAAAAAAAAACAAAAGUGAUGAAAAAAGGUGAGCGAUAAUAUAAGAUUGUUGAUAAAAAUUAACAAACUGAAGUAACAUAUAAAUAUUCGACCUUUUGUUUUACUUAUAACGAGCUUUUUACUUAUGUAGUAAUGUAUACGAAAACCGAAUUGCAGACUUAAACUAAGAAAUGUUUGAAUGGGAGAGUAUUAACAGUUGUGAGAAUUCGAAAGAGAAGAGAAGAGACUUUUUUUAUCAGAUAUGUAUAUACUAAAGAGAUUGUAGCAAUAACAGUAUUUGUGGUCUGAUGUGAUUAACUAAGGUUAUUGCAUAUAAUGUGUACAAGUCUAAUUCACAAACUAAGCUAAGCUAAGUUUUUGUAGGCCUCGACCCUUUCUCUUCCAACAAGUGUUCAGUCCCGCGAGCUUUGCAUCAGCUCGAACCACUGCAAAAACAAAAACAAAACUUGUCAGAUAUCUAAGUAUUUUGACAGUGUAGAAAACAGAGAAUGGAUAGUGAAAAGUUACCUGUCUCAACACAUCACCAAGUGUUCUGGGUAAGGCUUCGAUGUCUCUUAGCACAAUGUAGUAUGGGAAGGGGAAGGAAUCCAAGUAAUUCAUUUUCUUAUAAGGUCUCCUUUCACCAUCAUAUACAUAGUCCUGAUUAGAGAACAAAAAAAAGAUGUAGUUUUUUUAGAAUCAUUCAUGAUAACUACUCGUUUCAAUCUUAUAAAUAUGUAUAGGAAGUAAUAGAAUUGGACAUACCGCUAAAUCAAAAACAGAUUGCUCUGCGUCAUCGAGAAGCAGAUAUACCACCAUACGUUUUUGCUGGAGAAAGCUUCUAACAGUUCGUUUCAACUUCUCUCGCUCAUGGAACUUCCCAUCGCCGAUGAUUAGUACAAGUUGUUGAAGCGGGUUGCUCCCGUAAGACUGUCGUCUUGUGCUGGCCAAAUUCUCUAGCAUUUCAUUCAUGUUUCUCAGCAGAUUGACGACUGGUUGAUCUUCAAUGAGAUUUUCUUGUUUAAAUGUCAAAUUUGAGAUCAUCUGCAUCACAGAAACGAGAAAAGAUGUGUUUUGUAAGCAAUCAGAAGACAAUCCACAGUGAACACAUGGGAAAUGAAAGAUUUAAGGCCACUAACCUUAAUGCCGGAUUCUGUGGUGAAAGACUGACCAAAAUCAUGUAACAUCUUUAUGCUCCCUUGCUUCCCGAAACUUGCCACAGCCAAACUUCCCAGCUCAAGCUGUGACAUAGCUCGGCAUACCGUUGCCAAAGCUCUAAUUGCAAAAUCACCACAUCCACUUUCUGACAUGCUACGCGAGUCAUCCACAGCGAUAACAACUUGGUAAUCACGCUUGUUUGGUUUUGUCCUCCUCAACCAAAUUUUAUCUUUCCGAUAGUGACUUGCUAUGUAUGGAAUAACCUUCUUCAUGUUGAUCCUUUUACCCGUUCUGUAGUCACCACUGAGCUUGCUAGCAAGCGUGGGUUCUAAGAUAAGACGUAGUUGCUCAGCCAGCUCCUGAGACGGUUUUGCAGUAAGCAAUUCACAUCUCCUCCAAAGAACAACAGCAUUGCUUCUGGCAUCUGGAUCUUCCUGAUUAUCCUGAUUGCUUUCCGAGUCAUUAUCAGUCACUUGCAUCCGGUCCAGAUUACAUGCCUCUUCCCCCAAGAAAGUAUUGUCGACAGAGACCAUAGAGUCCAUCCUACUGUUACCAUCACCAAAAUUAUGAAUAGGAGAGUUCUCUUGGUGGGUCCUAUCUGUAUCUGGUUCUUGGACCUGUUCCGCGAUGCUAUUACUGAUCGAUGGUUUGGAUUGGACAGCAGGUUUGUUUUCUGGGUUCAAGUCAUCAAUAUCCAUUGGAGAGACAUCAUCCUGAUUACCUGCAAGUUUUUCUUCUUCGGAUUCCCCUUCUCUCAUAUCUGUGUUCACUUGCUCAGGCAACGCAGGUCCUAGAGCUUGGGAAGUUCCUGCAUCAAACUGAGAAGCAAAUCCAUAUUCACUAGCAUCAGGGUCUUCCAUCUCAUUUUCAGCCUCUUGCUUUUCUCCAAGGUCAGAGGAGAUUCUAACUCUUUCUUUCCACUCCUUCAAGGCAUCACCAACGUUCCUAUAAGGAUUGACCUUGGUUUGUUGAGCAGUAGAUGACUGGUUUUGAGGAAAUUCCAUCUUUGGUAAGUUGUCUGUCAAUGUCUCACCGUUGGCCAUGUUGGUCAUCAUGAGGUUCAUUUCCGUGUUACUACUCGAAGGCAGAUCCAUUGAAUCAGUGAGUUCAUCCGUAACAUCAGUAGCAGACAAAUUUUCUUGUGGUGCUGUACUUCCUGCACCCAGCACAUUAGACCCAUGGGGAUUUUGUGAACCAGACUCUACGCCAGAAAUAUUAUCAUUACGGAAGUUCGGUUUCAUCAUGUCUUCUGACAUAACUUCUUUUCCUUCUAUUGGUUCCGUUUCUGGUUCCUGUUCAAGAUCAUUUCCAGGUUCUUCUUUUUGGGGUGAUCCACACCUAUCUUCAGCCUCAGCCUCCAUAUUUUCCUCAGAUGGCUCUUGAGUUUCUUCUUGAUCAUUUUCACCUUCUUCAGGAUGCUUUUGAUCUUCUGAACAAGGUUCUUCCUGCUGAUUUGCAUCUUCCUUUUCGACCUCCUCUGUUUUGUCCAUCUCCAUGUCAUCAUCAAUUUGUUCAUUAUCGACAUCAGGAGUUAGUCCACCAAGUGCUUCUUCCUUGGUCUGGAUUUUUUCUUCUAAAUUAUCUGUAUCAUCAAAAUCAUCCUGCUCCACAUUCUCAUCGUUUCCUUCUUCCGGUUUGUCAGAAGUAUUGGACUCCUCAGGCUCAUCAGCAGUUUCAACACCAUCAUCCUUGGCUCUUAGCUCCCUUGAUCUUGUGUCCUUGUCGACUAUAGAUGGUCCAGAUUCAUUCUUCUCAUUCAUAUUUUCUUCCUCAUCUUCUUCAUCCUUGUUCCAUGGCUUUUCAUCGGCUUUUUCGGCAUCAGAUCCCACAUCUCCUAUUCCAUUAUCCAACGGCUCAUCCUCACUUCCUUCGUCUUCCUUGUCUUCUUCUUCAUCCUCACUAACGCUGUAUUCUUUGCCAUCAAAUUCGUCACUCAUCUCAAUGCCUUUGUUUUUACCCAGCACAUCAUCUUGCUCUUUCUCUUCCUCUUCCUGCAAAGACAACAGAAGAAAACUCGAUUGGUAAAAUCCCAUAGAAAAUUCAGGAUGAGUGGCAGGCAAUAAGGAAAGAGGCAGUAUAAACCUUCUUAUCUGUGCCAUGCAGUUGGUCUUCAUCUUCUAUUUGGUCACUUACAUCUUUUGCCCCCACACCAUCUCCCAUACCAGUACCUUCUGCAGCUUCCGAUUUGUCAACUUUAGAGUCAUCAUCUUCUUCAUUUUUGGAGAUGCCAAAUCCUUUUGUAAAUAGAUCGGCAAGAACACUUGCAAGGACAUGGGUUAUCAGUGAAACCUACAGACCAAAAGCACAGAUGUUGUUGUCUUAUUGGAAUAAAAUAGUAGAAGGUGUGUAAAUGCCGAGAUCUCUUCACACUAACUAACAUGCUUGACAUUCAGGAGGUUGUUUAAAGAAAAUUUAUCAAUUAACAGGAUCAGUUUAAAGAGAUGAUUGUCCCGAAUGACUUUGAAAGAACAACAUAAGAUAAACACAUACCGUUUUGCUUAUCGCCAAAAACUCUUUAAGGUAACAAUCCCCAAAGCUCAAUAAAAGAUCCAAAAAUGCUUGAAGUUGCUUCAACUGGUCUCCAACACCAGCUGAAAGGACGCCUGAUGAGUUCAACAGUUGUUCCUAUGAAGAUAAAAGCCUCAGUUCAACAUAAGCUUGAAAAUAAAAGGAAAAUAGCAUCCGCAUACAUCAAAAGACAAUCCAACUUACAAUGGAACCAAAUGAUUCGGACAGGAGUUUACACAGGUUAUCAAGGUUCAAGUCAUUUUCUGCCUUCUUAAACAGACCAUCCCAUGUAGUAAUAUUCAUUUCCUCUUCUUGAGAAAGACUUCCAUCUUUAUAAGAGCAAAGCUUUCCAAUCACAUCCUUAACAUUUGCAAAUAUACUUGCAAGAUUUUCUUCAAGAAAUAGUCGUUCCUUGGGUUCCAUUCCAGUUGACUGGUCUCUCACGUUAAGUAAGCAGUUCAGAUUUUCAGCCAACAAUUUCCCCUGCAUCAAAUAAAGUUCUUCAAUAUGACUCUAAGAAUCCUAAACGCAAUUUAUUUGCUAGGCUUGCAUCUGGAAAAAGAUAAAACUAAUCCACCAAGGCUGAAUAAAUACCUCUUUAAACACAGGGGAAAAUUGACUGAGAAGAACGUCUCUGCAAUAGCUUUUCUCAUUGUUUUCACAGAAACUUGAAAUUUGGUUCUCAAGGUCCGUAAGUUGAUCAAAGUUCUGGCGUAGCACCUGAACCAUAUGCUGAGUGACAAACUGCUUAAGACUGCUACUUGGUGUGAUGAUAAAACCGUUGCAAUCAAGUAGAAGCCUAUCCAGCGAAGCCUGAUGACAACAACACAUUCAGACUCUUGCAAGAAAUAACAGAGCAGAAAGAUUUAAAAGAAGCCCAAGGAUACCUUGGAAUUUUGAGCGAUGGGAAUUAGUAUUUCAAUAAAGCUGAGCAAACUCCGUGAUGAGGUUUUCACAGCUUGACAGGAAUCCAAGUGUGUACUUCCAACUGUUCUCAGUAAGGCCGACUCCUCAAGAAGCAUUGCAGUAAUGUUAUCAAAGAGUUGCUGUCAUAUCACAAAAAAGCAAAAGCUUAAUCCAGUGUUGUUGCAACAGACAUUCAGUGCACAUCAUUCAAGUUAGAAAGCUGAAAUACCUUCUGUAGCCACAAGCAAUUGAAGACAGCAUGUUGAUUUUGGGGGAAACUGAACACAGAAUCAUCCUUUCUAUCCGCACCAACUGAAUCACCCAGUAAUCUCGCUAGAGAUAAAACACAUUGGCGAAAGCGGUUGAAAAGUUCGGCAAAGGCAUACGCAGAUUUCCUUUGUUGCCGUUGUAUUUCCACAAGAUGAUUGAGAAAUGAGAUUGCCCGUUUAACCUGUUAACAUAGGAUGGUUUGCAGAAACAACUGGUUUAAAAUUGAGACUCGGUGAAGCCCAGAUAUAAAUUACAAGCUUCAAAGUCUACCUGCUCAGCUGUUACAUCGGAGUGUUUUCGGUCAAUAUUUAACAUGAGUUGCACUGAAGCCAAGCUCUUAAAGUAAAACUCAUUUGCCACUCUCCACUCAACUAGUGAAUUUUCCUUGUUUUGAUCUUCUACACCCAUGGAAGGAUGUAUGUUACUUUUGGUAUGUGUUAGCAGUAACAGAUGCUUUGGAUCGUAUGCUGGCUGAUAAAGCAACCCUUUAAAGUGAUUUGACAUCUACAUAAGAAGAUGAUCAGAGAAUAUAUAUGAUUAAUAAACAGAGCAUGACUAGAAGAAACAUACACAGAAGUAUCGACAAGCAAAAGUAUAUUACCUCUAUAUUUUCAAACUUGUGUUUCUGCAAACCACUACUUUCUAAUAACUUGAGAAGUUCAAACAGGGCCCUCUUCUUUGCAACAUCUCUAUCACUGUUUCUCCAUAGAUCUGAACAGCCAGCUAUGGUUUCACCAAUCCUAGCAACCGUACUCCACAAAUUUUUCCAAUCACCCUGAUAGACAGGGGACGAAUACUGAUGCUCUGCAAAUAUAUUAUGCAAGCUUAAGAAUAUGCAGACUCCCCAAAAAUAAAGGAAAAUCACCAAAUAGAACCAAGAGAGAAUGGAGUUAGUGUACAAACGAACCUGCACCCAUCAGCAAUGUUUUAUAGUGCAUUUCUUGGUGAAAGCGUCCUACCGAUUCCUUUAAUUUAUUCCACCAGACAACAUACCAUGAAGACCUACCAAGAAAGUUUAAAGCAUAUAUGAUGGAGGGUUCAACUUCCAUAAACUUCUCACAAUGCAUGCAGAAAGGCACAGGAUGCAAAUGUAUACCUGUCCCUCAAUUGCUCUGCAUCUAAAGCACUAACUAGGACCUCGAUCCUCAUGUCGGAUGCUCCAUCCAUAAGAUCUGGAUCUAGUAGAGGGAGAAAUUGAGCUCGUUCCUUCGUCAGGUCUGGCUUAACAAGCAUUACAGGGAGGCGUAGCAUGUCCUGCUCAACAAAAAAGAUGCCAAUUAGAAAACUUUUUAAUAAGGUCCCAUCAUUCAGACUCAUAUAAGCCAACAUAGAUAACUGAGAGUCGUGUGUUUAUAUAAUAGUCCCCCAGAAAAAUGAAGAACCAAUAACUUACCGUAAACUUCUGUAUCAGUUUCUUGACCUUUUGCCUGGUCCUUUUAGUGGUCUCAUUGUACAAAUAAUUAUCUGGCCUCUCCCACCGACAAAGUUUAAGAACCUCCUUUAACUCAGUUUCAACAUUUUUUCUAUUCAAAUCUAACUGCUCCAUUACACUGGUAAGAGAAAUUUAAAUUGAGAACAUUACCCUGGCAAAAUAAUCGUGAACUAAUAAUCUUAAGACAGAAUUGGAAAGGAGCUUACACCGGUAGAAAUUGAAUAUAGAAUCCAAAAAUAUUGUAGCACAUUUCCACCCUCCUCUUGUGUGAAUCACUGUCAAAGUAAAAGCGGGAGUCAAAGACAGUCAAGUUAGAAGUCAACUGUAAAAACAGCGGAGGAGCAAUCAACUGUGAAGACUUAAGUAUAUAAUGCUGAAGGCCCUUUAAAUCCUUCAAGAAUGAUACUGACGAGGAAAGAGGAAAAGAAGAAAUCAGGCAAUAAUUCAUACGCAGCUAACCUUGAAUAUAUCCCCAACGAGCUACCCAUACUUAAUUGAAGAAGGAAACAAAAGAGAAGCUGAAGACGUCUCCUAAAUUCACCAACAUUUGACGUUUCAAUGAACUCCACCAAACUGCAACAAAAAUAUCUGUUAGAUGACCGAAUACAUGCAAGAAUGGAAAUGUAAGCACCACAUCAUUUGUUUGGUGCACACCUUUGUGAAAUGGACUCGUUUUCAUGUUCUGAAAUUUCCACAGCAUCCUUCUGAAACAGAACUGAAAACAAAGGAAGCCACAACUGCAACAAGAAACAAAAAGUGUUACCCUUAACAUUAUUUUUGUUCAUAAAACAAAAUCUUCUAAUUAUACCAACCUUCCUAGCGUUUAGUUCAUACUGAUCCUGAACCUCAUCAAGCAAAGUAGGCCAGCGCUCAAAUUCCACCUUCUGCCAAGAGCUUGCUAGGGAAAUAAUUGGCUCCAAAAGAUCUGUAGGAUAAAAAAAAAGAAGGAAAACACAAUGUGACACCUGAAAAUAUCAUAAAUAAUGGCAGGAACGAAUGUUUAGACUGAGAAGAGUCCAUAAUCAACCCAUUGUAAGGAGAUUAAAAAUCAAUACCAGAGAUGGGCAAUUUACAUCCCUCUUCCUGUAACUUGUGAACCUUGCAGAGCAGAAAUUGCAAUCCUGAGAGAGCCUUCACAAAAAAUGGCAAAUAAGAAAGUAAUGGUUUAGUACAUAAUGCUUAUGAUGAACUAACAAGAUCAAACAAUGACGGCAGGCAAUGCAAAGAAAUUAAUUCUGUGGGUACAAGUUACCACUGCAUUAAUACUUUCCAUAACAUUGUUACCAAAGAGUUACUUUGUUAGUCAUUGAUAGAUCUUUUGUUGAGUAUAUAAAUACCUUUGCGAGAGGAGUACUGGAGGGAAUAGCCAAGAGCAUCUGAAGUACACCAGAAAGUUUCUGAAGACCAGGAUGGUCCUCCCGUUCUUGCAAUAGAGAAUUAAUUCUUUGUUGAAGAGGAGUGAGAAACUUGACCAUUUUCCCCAGCUCAGGACCAUCCAAAUCCUAUAUAAGAAACUGUCAGAACACAGGCGGACAGACCUAAAACUAAAAGCAGAUAAACUUCUUAAGGACGUAAAAGCUUUCGCAGACCUUGUAAAAGUUAUAUUUACUGGCUGACUGAUAGUUUGAAGUGAAGUUUUUUUUGUUUUCCAGGCAAAGACGAAGUAGGUGUUCUGGAACAAGUUUUGCAUCCAAGCUCGAUGUAAAUAAACCCCUUAGCCCUGGAAUCAAGAGAUAACCCUGUAAUAGCAUUAAUAAAAUGAAUUUAACUACGUUAAACAAUAGAGAGAAAUAGUGUCUAAUCACCUUUGAUCAUACUGACUCCAAGUUCAUAGGAAUCAGUGAACGAAUCCAGUCUUCUACUGUCAGUAAUACAGAAUCUUCCAGACUGAAUAGAAUAAAUUGUCUUGUUAGAUACAAGAGAAUUGAGAGUGAGCCUGAUGCAACAAUUGCAGAUUUGAGUUCCAAUACCUUUUCAGAGAGGUCACAGAAACCAAAUAACUCAUUAUGUGUGCUAUAUAUACUAUCCAGAUGCUCCUGUAUCAAGUCCCAAUCAUCCUCCAAAUUUUCCUCAUCCUGGUCAAUAUGUGUCUGUGGAGAGGAAACAGAAAUCAUAAGUAAUAAAGAUGAGAAUUCACAAGUUCCAGUAGACCAUAAGACUGAAGGGUUUACCAUAUCUUUCACAUUCUUCGUAUCAUCAUCAGCCAGAUACUCUUGCCACUCAGAGAAACUUUCGUUUGGGAAAUACUUGCCAAGGGCAGAUAUAUCUACUUCCAUGACACUAUCAAUUUUGAAGUCCCGGGAACGAAAUUUGUACAGCCCAGGAAGAUUGUCAGCCUUUGUUUUGGCUUGAAACUUCAUCUCCAUCCAAAUUCUCGCCAAUUCAACAUAUAUCUUGUCCAAUAACUGCGGAUAGAACUCUUGCGACAUUAGAUAACAUAUUAACAUAUUCAUAUGCAUACAACUAAGUAAAUAUUUUACCUCAAAAGAAGCUUCAUCCAGUAGCCCAGUAUUUGCGACAAAUUGUAAAACACGAGCAUGGAGAUUUUUAUAAAGAGCAACUUUGAGUUGCAACUCUGAGGCCUACAAGAAAUAAGCAAAACAUAAAGAAUACAUGAAUAGAUUUCAAAAUUCUGACAAUCUUUUUUUAUUAUUUGAACGGAUAUCAUCUCUAAAGACUGGAAUUUCAUGAAAUCAUAUUAAACAUUACUUUUCUCGAAUCUUCUGCACUUGAAACAGAGAUAAGUUUGUGCAACAAGCCAACAUCCAAACCUAAGGACUUAGCACGAGAAUUUGCACCAUGGGAAAGGUGCAAAGGUGGCAAACAUUCGGUGUAGGUAGUUGAAGCUAUCGACGAGUCCCUUGGAAAUCUCAUUAAGGCAUAAAUUGUUUCCUGCCAGACACAUGGAGUCAUUAAGUUUGACUACACGAAAUGACAUGUUUAAAUAUUUCCGAAAGACAAGAGGUUAAGUACCAUGACUGAGUCAACCAUGUCUAUGUCAAAUCUGUUGAGAAGUUUUCCCAAGAGAGCACCAGAUACAAAGAGUGAUAAACCCAAUUUCAUCUCGUACACUGAAACUUGAAUUGGCUGAGUUAUAUCGACAUAUUCAGAAUAGUCACUUGACAUCCGAUCAAUAAAAGAUAUUGCUGUCUCCUGCAGAAUCCAAGGAAUUGAUAUUUGAAAAUGAAGCUUGAUGGCUAAAGCAAAAAGAAUACUAAUGACAGUCAUGAGAUAAACAUACCUGCCAGUUGAAAACCUGCUCAACAACCUGAUUCCAAUCAAGCACUUCAAUAUCGUUGACCAGACUUAUGGGACGUGUGAGAAAUCCAGCAAAUUCAUCCAGCGCCCUUCGUAAAUCCUGGUACUUUUUUGGAUCAGAUCUAAAAAUAACCUGUUUCAGAAGGUAAGAAAAAAAGGUGAGCAUGAAAAUGGGAUAGGUCAGAUAAUAAUUAUCACACAGCGAAGAGGUGAAAAACCUAUGGUAGCUGCUACAUACCUUUCUUUGCAAUCUUUUAUGCUCAGUUUUGAGCUUAGAUAAUGUAUGUUCACUGCUUUCGUCAUUGUUUCCAGAGUAAAGCAAUCCAGACAGAUACCCACAUUCUCCCCGGACCUGGUAAUACAUGAAUAGGCCAAUCAAUGAAACAAAGACGGACAAUAUGCAACUGCUAUUGUGAACCUACACAAUACGAAAGAGUAAGCACCUUGAUGUUUAGCUCAAGUGAUGAGAUUUUCUCUUCUAGCUUUAACAGCUUGCAAGUGAUCUUCAUGGCUGGAUCUAUAACAUCUAAGCUAUUCAAAAGAUGGAAGCGUAGUCCUCCAAGAUAAAGCCACGCCAAGCCAAGAUUGCAGUAGAAUUCUACAAAAGUUGGGCAUAACGCUGUAUUAAAUAAUUACAACCGUCGAGGAAGGUUUGCCUUGCUAAGAAUCAAACUUCUACAGCUCAUAUAUAAACUAUAAAACAAUACCAUUUGAUGAGCUAUCGGAAUAAAGACGUUUUGCUAAUGGUCCGACAAAUGAGUGAGUAACGGAUUUCAAUUUAUUAUGGCUUGAUGAGCCAAUCAGUGAGAUAAGAUUCUGUAUUCCAUCCAUCUGCAUAAAGGAUAAGAGAUGCGUAAACUUGGAGAUGUAGCUAUGUUUCACAAAGAACAUAAAGUACUAAGAAGAUUCCAAUAUUUUUGACAAGAAAAAGGGAACGAAAAAUAGAAAAUAUAACUUAGAAUCAUACCUUGUUCUGCUUUUUCUCAAUUGCAUGAAAUACAGACUUAAUUGCCACAAACGUUUCUGACUCAAAUGACUUUUGGUGCGUAUAUAUUAUCUACAAAGGUUAAAAUCAAGAAUAAAAAAGUGCACAAUGGACAACGAAACAGAAUAUACUAUUCAAAUUUAUCACGAUUUCAGUACCUGUUGGAAAAGGGAACGUGCAAUUGACAAUAGAGAACCAGGCAUUUCUUGAUAGGGUUGUGAGCUUUUCCAUAGAUAUCGUGAAGCAGAAAGAAGUUUCAUUGAUUGAACAGAAUAAUCCUUAACAGAAAAUACAUUUUCCCUGCAGAAAACAUUAUUAAAAAGAGCUUCAUUGUAUGGUUAAAUGGAAUCACAGUUUCCCAUCAUCAAACAUUAAAAGUGGAUUAUCUUGGAGGGUAAAGCAUUGUAGUCAUGAAUAUAUCAAACAGAAAGGAAAAGUAUGGAGCGUUUAACAUGUUCUUAGUUGAUCAGAAGAAGCGAGUAGCAAAACAAAAUAAAAAAAUCUCAAACAUAAUAAAGGAGAUACAACUCUUACAGAAUCUGAGCAACGGUAGCUGUUUUCACAGGCUGAAUCAGCAUAGAAGGUGACAGAAUCUGACAGUUGCCAGUGUCUGAGAUAUUCUGUAGGCCCCGUGAACAUGAGAUGAAAGAAAGAUGUUACUAAAUGCGCAAUCUAAAAAGUAGCAUGUGAACAAAAAUCAUUAAGUUUACUAUCUUAUACCAUGAGACCAAUUUGACUAUUUUUCCACAAUACAGAAUGCCACCAGUACCAAAUCUCGAGAGCAAAACCAGCAAUUUUGGUGUCCACUGCAACAUAGCCAAAGUUAAUCAGCAAGUACACCUUAGUACACAGAAAAAUUGUUGAAUAUUCAACUUUGUUUACCUCCUAGUUCAGAGGCAUGUGCAUCAAUUGCCCACAGGAGUUUUUGAUGAGCUACAAGAGUCUGUGGAGGCCUGGUUGAGGAUAAAGAAUAUUCUAGAGCCGGUUUGAGCAGUUUUCGAAUGUCCACAAGAUCCUGCAACUCAAAAAGGUAAGAAGCAAACAGGAAAAUGACUUUAACCAGGCUUUACAUAUAGUAGUUAUCAUACGCACAUCUUCUCCAUUAACUUUCAAAUAAAAAGAAGACAUUAGCUUAUAAAAAUAAAAAAAUAAAAAAAAAAUUCCAACUAUCUACUAACCUGAUGUUCAGUAGGUCGAGCAACCAAGAGGUGCUGAAGUGCAGCAAGUAACUCUACGUCUAGAGAACAACUUUCACUGCUAGCAAUAAAACAUGUCUUCACCCAACUGCUAAAUCCAGACCCUGUAGUCACAAUCUCUGGACAGAACACGCAGCAGGAAGCAGUUAUAUUUUCAGUAUUGUCAAUCUCACUGAAACCCAUUUUAUCCUCCAGUCUCUUCUUCUCUAGUUUCAGCCUCUCCAAAAAAGUCUGGUGAUGAUGGUGAAAUUGUGAGUAGCAGAUAGAGACUCAUUCAUUACACACAGCAGAAAAAAAAGAUAACAAACCUGGUAGAUCUCAUCCAGCUGAACAGCAGCUACAUAAUCUACAUCGUCUUCGUCAGCAAUGUAUGAUGAAAUGCAAAGACCUGCAGAGAAAUACAACAAUUUGAAUCACAUCACAAUCAUACAAUCACAACAACUACGAAAUUGUUAUUAGGUUUCCCAUAAAAAAAAUUGUUAAGCCUGUUGUUCACAGAAGAGGUUUUUGGGAUAAGGGAAAAAAUCCCAAGAGGAUAACAAACGAUCAGUAUUCUCGGUAUUCUAUACAGUCAAAGAAUUAUGAUUCAGUUUCAUAUACUUCUACGUUUAACCAUGACAAUCAAUUAUCCCUUGGUUGAAGACAAAAAUAUAUACACUUAAAAUGAAACCAAAAAUGAGCAAUAUUGAUAAGGUAGAGUUACCUUCCAAGGCAAGCAAACAUAAUUCAGGGCCAGAAAAUGGAAUGGCUUUGGUAAGAUGAUCAUUUCCUGCCAACAAAAACAGCUAUCAGAAGACAGUUUAAUUUUCUCUAAUAAACAAUCAGACAUGUAGUACUGAACGCUUUAGAUAUCAAACCGUGUUCAUCUGAUUCUGAUUUCAAUGGCCAAACUGUGCUGCACAGCUGUAGAAACUCUUGCUGCUUGUGGAACAGCUCUGCAGAUACCGGCAAGGAAGGAUGUCCCCCAUAAGCCCACAGCAUAGACUUUUCAGGGUGACCAUGCAAAACUAUGUUGUUAAUAUUUUUGCUUUCCUCCUACAGAAGAAAGGCAAUGAUGUUAUUGAGUAACCAGUAUGAUAAUUUGAGAAAAGAAACUGGCAUAACUGAAAGGUACCCUUACCAGAACCACCUGAACUUCUCCAGGGAAAAAACUGUGCAUCUUUUUGAUAGAUUUUAUCAGUGACCAAAAGGAAAACAAUAGAUACUCAUCUGAAGAAGAGACCAAACCAGACCAAAAGAAUGAAUGGUUGUCAAUAACUUCGGUGUACAACUGAAUCAACACACUGAAAGAUGGUGCUCCAACAAUUUCGCAAAGAAUUUUCUUCUCCAAUACGCGAAGCGAAUCCAAAAACCGAGUAAAAGUGGAUACAUCUGUGUGGUUGUCGUUGCUCUCUACAAGCCACUGCUGAUACGAACGACGAAGAACGCCAACAGAGUUGAGAGACUCAAAGAGGGAUUUACUGUAAGGUUUGGACUGGUCAUUUGAUGCGGCUACAUCAAUCAAUUUGGAGGACAGCAUAGGAAUUGGAACAGCAUCUGGAUCCAAUCUGCAGAGGAAUUUCAGAUUUUUCCGACAUCUAGAUAUAUGAUUCCAAAUUGGAUGCUCAAACUCAACCUUCAACGUAUUGAGAAAACAAAGCAGAAACGGACAGUGUUGUUGCAGUCUAGAACCAAACCAACUAAACCACGCAAGAUAGAGUUGAAUAUCCUCUUCGGUUGCCUGUUCUAUUGUCCAGUUGGCAGCAAACAAUAGCAUUUUUGAAGCCAAAUCAUUUUCAAAAUUUGCUGCAUCUGGUGCACAGCUUGACCCAAUUAAGGCUUUAGGAAACAAGACUUUUUUAAGCGUCCAAGAAUCAAUAGAAUAAAUAAUUCUUGGUUCCCCAGCAGCCAACUCCCUAUCUCUUGAUUUGACAUUGUCGCUUAUUUUAGGCUGAUGUGAGGCAUACUGAGCUCCUAGGAACUCCAGAUACAUGCAAUUCUGUCUUACUGUUGUUUCUCUUGAGUACCAUGUCAAGUCUCUCAAGUUGAAAGGCUUUGGCCAUCCUCCAGGCAGGUACAGAUCCCCACCCAUAAAUGAAUCAAGCUCAGAAAGUUCAACAUCUGAUAAAUAUGUCUCACGCACAAAAUCAACAACUUCUUUUCCAUCAGUUACCCCAAGCGAAGAGAGAUAGAUGUGCUCCCAACUUAGCUGUAAGCUCCACAAAAGUUGAUUACCAUUCAUGAGCAGCAAUUGGAAGAGGUGAACCCACUGUUCGAGCUCAAGAUACGUGAUCCGUACACCAAAGCUUUGACCGUUUAGCCAUGCAUGAACAUGUGCUUUGGCCAUGGAAGUAACCAGCUUAUAACCUGGAAUACCUGACAGAGCAAGAAACCUUUCCACACCUCUCAGCACAAGCUCUUCACAGUUUGAGCCAUCCUCAUUGAGCUGCCAAUGUGGCCCCAUCAUAAAUACCUCAACGCCUCUAUUCCUCAUUGCUCUUGAUACUUCCCCAAAUUUUGGAUUUACAGACAGGAACAAACGAAAGUUUGGGUGCGGAACCACAGUGACAGGUUCACCAUUAACGAUCCCGCAUUCAUUUAUAGUGAUUGAUCCACACGGUUCCACCAAUGAGUUAAUUCUAUCAAGUACCUGAAAUUUAAGUUAAAAAUGGAAAUUAGCUACAAGGGAAAUUAUCAGAAUUGUUUCUAAUUAUCAGGGUUAACGCAAAAGGAAUGUAACCAGUACAUGAUAUUAAAAAGGGAGAUUAUAACAAUACCGUGGGAUUACAGAGAUUAGCAUUUUUGAGGACAACCCACUCUCCCUUUUCUAUUGCCUUUAUCAGCAUUCCUGUCACCCAUUCAAACUUUGUAGACUGCUUUUUCUCAUGAGUUUGUAACUGCAAUAUAGUCUUCGAGAUUUGUUCCAGAUACUUUUUUGACCAACUAACGGGUAAAACACCUUCUUUCAAGACCUGUUCCAGGUCUUCUACAACCUCUUCUAAUGUAGACAGUGUUUCAGAGUCGUUCAAGAAGAAUAAUGGGUUCUCCACGAGAGAGGAAUCAAUCUUAUUUAAAUAGGAAAGCCAUCUGGAAACUAAGCCACUCCUAUUGCUGAAAAGGGCCUCCUGGGAAGACUGUAAUAGCAGACUGUUAUACUCAUCGACAAGGUGCUCAACUCGAGUCAUCACCAAUCUGAAAUUACGGAAGGCAUUGUACUGCUCAAAGCAUCCGAGUAGAUCAGAGCUGUCAGUCGCAGACGAAAGAUUUAAUUCAUUAAGAGGAUAUCCUGUUAACUGAGCCAAUAUUCUGAUCACCGAAGUCUUUCCAGAUGACGAUGGUCCGACUAGGAUGCACAACCAUUUAUUCUGCACACAAUGUGCAACAGCUUCCAGAUUUUGACGGAUUUCAGGCAAAAGUUUCAACUGCUCACUGGCAAUAUUAGACUGAUUUAAAUUUCGUUUAAUGGCAGCAGUUCCAACAACUAAGUACGCAGGAUUUAGCUGAACCCGAGGAUACGGAUUUAUCGACGGGGUUUUAUCAAAAAUAGCCUUAUAGAUACGCAGAACUUCUUUACGGUCAGUUGCAGUACGCAUUCUUUGAAUGUACAGAACAUUGAGAAAGCUUUCAACUUCUAAGUCAUGUAUCGCCUCUGAAACGACACGAGAACUCAAUUUAGUCCAAGCAACUGUCACCUGGAAAAAAUGUAUUAUGAAAAAUUUAAAUGACUCUAGCUACUACCUUGCAUAAACUGGCAUGAUCUUAUCACAUCCCGUAGAUUGAAUUCCCAUGGUGAGCCAUCGUGACCAAACUUUCGAUAUAACAUAGUACCAUCGUGUAACUGUCUGUUGAGAGCAAUAAGCUUUGAAAGCAAUGGACUAGGAACAGAUGGGUAAAGUGAGCGACAGAUGAAGAGGUAAUCAUCUUCCACUAACUCGUCCACAUAAACCUGAAAACAUUUGAGGCGGAGCAGAUGAAAUUUUCAUUUGGAAUUAUAAUAAAAAUUUGACAUGUCAUGAGCAUCCAGGACCAGAAAACGAAUAGUAGAACAUACUUUCGUGAAUCGGUUAAGGAAAGACUUGGGAAGACCUUUCCUGCCACCACCUUGAGUGGAAGGAUUCUGACAUGCAAAAACUCUAAAUGUUGGAGGGCAUUCAAAGGUACAGCCCAGUUCUGGGAUGAAGACUUGAGCACGAUGAUCCAAAAUCGCAUUCAAACCCUGGAAAGAUAUAUAAAUAUAUUUUAAUAAAUCUCACCAGAAUAAUAUAUGUGGAAAGGCAACAGAAUUCAACAUAUUCUAGCGCAAGAAAAUUUCUACUGAAAUAAAAUUAGUGGUUUGUCGGCUCACCUCUAGAACAGAUUGUGGGGCAAGGUUCAGUUCAUCUAACAAAACCCACGAGCCUUCUUUUAGAGCCUGUAGAAAUUGCAUAAUUGAGGAUCUGCAAUUUUUAAAUUGAUACAUACUUUUAGAUAAAACAAUCUUUAACCUGCAAGAGAAUUCCAUCAGACCAAGCAAACUUCAUGUCCUCAUCACUUUCAACUGGUAAAUCUGAUCCCAGCAAAUCCAUCAUGUCAGUCUGCAUCAACAAAACCAUAGUUAUAGUACCCAACAGAUUAAGUAGCAUACACAGUAUUGAAGGCCUGGUGACGAAAUCGAACCUGCUCCGAUAGAUUUAUGCGCACAACCUUGUGGCCAGAAUAUUUUCCCAACGCCAAUAUCAGACUAGUUUUUCCAACACCAGGGCUACCUUCUAAUAAAACUGCAAUGGUAAAAUAGACCAAUAUUAAAGCUGACAUCAAUCUCCAAAAACUACCAUGAUAACCAAAAGUAAUGAGACAUACUUGGUUUUGAAAGCUGCAUUGCACGCAAUACUCUCAAGACAUUCCUGUGGGUAGUUGGUGCUAAAAACUCGAAUCCACCAAUCUCAGGAUUUUCAUCACCUGAACAGGCAGGUUGUAAGUUCCAAACAAAAUCUCAUAAAUGCUAUAAUCAUAGUUGCUAUACUUUGACAAUAUUAAACAUAUCCUCUGCAGAAAGAACACGAGCAGCUCACCUUUGCUUAUAAAAAAUGGAUCGAUGCCAAACAUGCCCUCAUGUCGAACACUCUUACUUUUUUCACAAAUUGCUUUGGAAUCACCCCAGCCAUACAGCUCCAUUCUUGAAAGCUCCAAAGGUAGUGUAUCGCUAGCAAAAAGCUGAACCAGAAAAGUCAGAUACUCAGAUGGAUGCGACAUGAUGAGACAUUCGUAGUCGAACAACGAGCAUCACUAUGUGUUGAGGACUAAAGACGAUAUAAGUCACACAGUUAAGAAUUUAAAGAUGCUACGAAAACGUUUUUGUUCUAUAGCAAACCGAACUGAUUUACUGGAAUAACAUUCAACAUAUGCCACUAGAGAAAACUUGGCGAGUUUGUGUUGCCAGAAAACAACAAAAAUAAAGAGAUAUAUUGUAUCAUCAAGAUUGAAAUUACCUCAAGUUGUUGUAACAGGAAAGCGAAGCAUUUUUCUCUCAGAUCUUGACCAUCCCUUCCAGAGAAACCAGUUCCUUGCAAAACAUAAAAAAAAAAGAGGUUAAUCAAUCAUACACGCUGGGUAAAGAUAUAUGAAAGCAAUACCACUCAAACUCAGCUAAUGAAGAUGAAAUACCAAUAAAGUUGGAUAUCCUAAACUCAGUAAAUCCAACGACAGAAACUACAUAACACAAGUUGUAGAUUCAGCUAGUGAAGAUGGAAUACCAUUAUAUUCGAAUACCCAAUUCAACAAAUUACAUGAAACGAUAUUUGCAUGAAUUUAUAUAACAAACGAUCAAGGUAGACCUAUUCAAACUUUUAGAUGUUUGAUAUAUUCCAGUGUACUUAUAUCAUUACGUCAAAGACAGACCAGUCAAAAAAUGUAAGACUGUAGAUGACAAAGGCAUUUAUAAAAGCAAUCAAUCUAAGAAGCAGCUAGAGAACCUAACGAAUAUGUUUUACUGGACCACCAGGCAAAGAGCAUCUUUUCAUAGGGAUGUGAGGGAAUCACUAGAGCAUAAGCUACAGUGAAACACCCGGCCACAGAUAUACACGACUAAUUUUAUUACCAUGUUUUUGGACAUCGAGAAGUUCAAAAAACCACAUUGUUCAUACCAGAAUGCAAUCAAAUAAACAGAAAGCUCCCCAGUGCAGAUAAAAAAUGGUUACAGAAGGGAAGAAUAAGAGUUGAAUAAGUGAGUAUAGCAAUAACACUUCAAACCUAGACAGAAAGAUUAGAAUUACGGAAAAACAUACCGAGACUUAAACCGUCAAGUAACACGAGAAAUGCUCCAUGAAGAAUAGCAUAUGCUGGUCCUAAACUCUCAGUUGCCAUGUUGACAAAUGCAACCCAGGAGAGGAGAUCUCUGACAGUAAGCGUUCUCCCAGUAUGCAACCUGUUGAACCACUGCAGCAAAGAAACUACAUUGAAUCUACUGAUGCAAAAAACAUAUAAUACUGUACAAUUAUAAAGUAUCAUGUAUCAUUGGGUUGGCUGAUUUUAUAGUUAUGAUUAUAACUAUAAAGCUCAGAACAGUUUGUGCCUGACGAGAGAGCAUGGAAAAGAGAGAGAUGGUAUGGAGCCAAGUUUUAAAAGGUUACACUAAAAAGUAAAGCAAGCAAAUCGUUUUCCAACAGCACAAAACCUUGAUCUGUGUGGUCGUGUUCAUGUUGGUAAAUGGAGACACUACAAAACACUAAGGGCAUAUUCAAGCUUCUAUAUUAUAAACUUCAAAGCAUGUAUUACUUUCAGAGUUACAGAAAUUGAAAGGAAAUAAAAAUAAGAGUAAUAGGAAAGGGAAACUACCUCCCAGAAGUUGAUGAUGGGAUCUACAACAUUAGAUUCCUUCAAACUGGACAGGCUACAAAACAAGAAUAUUAUGAAUUAGCAACAAGAAAACUAUUGACAAGUAUCCUUCUGAGCAUUUCAGGGAGACCACAUACCCAGAAAAGGCAAUACUUCUGAGCUCCUCAGUAUCUGUAAUAGGAGGGACCCAUAUCUCAGUAAAACGAUUACGAAGCGCAGGUGACAAUUCCUUCUUUCCAUAAUCACCACCCGGGUUCAUGGUGGCUAGAACAAAAAAGUCUUCAUGAGCUACAACUUCCUCCAAGACGGGACCACCUUUCUCAGCUAAGGACUACAAAGAUAAAGUGGAAACAAUAACAUACGAGAGGACAAUUAAACAGAAAUAAAAACUCUACGAAGAAAAUGGAAACCAACAUGGAGAAAUGAUGAAAAUGAUAAGGAAUGGCUAAAUGAUGAACAUGAAGGCAGGGUAGCUUUACUCACCAAUUUCCUGUCUGUCUCCAACACACUAUUCAUUCUUUCUAAUACACUGUCAUCAGCCAAAGAUAUCUCAUCCACAAGAACGAUAUUUCCAGCUCUCAUAGCUUCCACAAGGGGCCCAUCUUGCCAAACAAAUAUUGCACGCCAUUUUUGAUACAGCAUCACCAUAUUGUUCCUUAUUUUCUCAAGAAAAUCAACAUCCUGUGGCGUGGCGGCCACUCCUAUAACUGAACCAUUUUUGUACUUCUCCAAAGCUACCUCUACUGAUUUGAUCGACACUUCAGCUCUACUAAUAUCUCCACAAAUAACCUGCACAUGACAUGUUCAAGGAAAUAUAGCAUCCACAUUGAACGAAAGACGGGUGAAAUACCAACAUCAAUGGGGUAUUGGAUACUAACAAUAUCUUGGCCAAAAGGCGUCAAUGCCUGAGAGAGCUCCAACUGUUUGACUUGAUUCUCGUAUUCUGUGAUCAAUUUUGAUCUGUCUCUCACAGGAAAGAAUCCCUAAAAAAGAGGCGGACAUUAGAAAUUGUAAGAUGAAAGAAGUAACAGUUUAGCAUUGGAGUUCGGAAUAUGUAAGAUGAAAGAAGAUAAGCCUACACCAAGGAAAUCAGAUGUUUCGGUGUAUUGAUGACAGUUAAGGAUGUGCAAUCUUUUCUUCUUAACAUCGCUUAGUAUUUGGCAGAUUGUUGUUUUGCCUCCUCCAGUGUCACCAACAAGAAGAACAGGCUCACGCAGUUUAUAAGAACGGUCGAUGAGAAAAAAUAGUCUCCGCAUACUUUGAGUCCAGGUGAAUUUUCUGUUUUGUCUAUAUAGAAAUUGAAAAUAGCACCAUAAAAUUUAGCCAAGACUGUUCAAGAUAAAACAAACAAGCUCGAAGAAAAUAAUUCAAUAAAAGAGAAUUAGAAGAGGAAAGGCAUUUACAUGGAAUCCAACCUUGGAAGCUCCUGGGGUAAGAAAACAAAAGCAAAAAAAAGAACAGAAAACCAUUAUUUAUAUCAGAAUAGUGUAAGAAACAGCACCUUUGUAAUGAUGCAGUAAUAGUUAAACUUAAUAAUAAUGCAGUAAGACCAACAGUGAAAAACAACAGAGCAACAACAAGCAAUUUUCAUGGAACAGGCAGUUCACUGUAUGACACACAACUCCGUCAAAUGGAUAUAUUAAGUUAAAAGACCUACAAUAUAAACAAAUUUCAGGAAACCUAAAAUGAACUAGUUCCAAUAAGAAAAGACAUAUUACAUCAAUUAUCUGAAACUAGAUAACAUAACUUACCAUAUUGUACAAAUCAUCUUUGGCAAGACUGACACGGAAAUGUCUCUCCAGCACCUCUUGAACAACUACCUUCUCAGUGUCAUCACGCAGCCUUUCUGCAAGGAUGUAAUACCCUUCUCUGGCGAGUUCUUCAUGAGAUGUACCGUCAUAAGUCCUGAAACGAUAGGCCCACCGGAAUAAAUCUCUUGGAGUUAUAUAACCAUGUUUUCCAGCAAAAGCUUUGCUACUCUGCCUAUUGCGUUGCAGGUCUUUCAUCACUUCAACCAUUUUUGAAGCAUGACUGUUAGCAAUACUACACUUCGUAGUAAGAAUUUCACUCAGUUCAUCUUCUGGAAUUUCAUCAACAUGAAUCUCCACAAACCGAUUGCGAAAAGCUCGAGACAGUAUUUUGCGUCCACCAUAUAAAGUAGGAGGGUUCUGUGUAGCGAAGAGCAUAAAAUUAGGAUGCGCUGAGAUUGUUUCACUCAGCUCAGGCACAAAAAGCUCCCUAUUGUCAUCAAGCAGCCUGUUUAGUGCCUCUAAGACAUCAGAUGGAGCCAAAUUAAGUUCAUCUAAGACAAUCCAAUGCCCACCCCUGACAGCCUUCACCAACGCUCCUUCGUGAAAUACAAGCUUCCCUGAAGAAUCAGUCAUAUAGGAACCUAAAUACUCUUGGAUAUCAGUCUGCUCAUGAUUAUUGAUUCUUACAAAUUUGUUUCCACUUAUUGCUGCAAGAUAUUUGACAAGGCUUGUUUUUCCACUGGAUGUUGGUCCUUGUAAGAGCACAGGAUAUCUUUUAAUAAAAAUGGCAUGCGCCAAAUGAUUAAGAUGAUCAAUUACACUCUUCGUCUUAACAUAACUGCCAACAAAUUUAUCAGAACUGCCUUUUAAUUCUCCCAAGUAUCUUUGAAGUGGUUGGCUUCGGAUAUUUUCCCCGGAGAUACGCUUUAUUAUCGGUUCCACGAUCUUAGCACUGGAAGCAUCCAAUAAGGAGAGGAAAAACAUGGAAAAUCCAUCAUAUAAUGCUUUCUGAAAACCACCAAUAGCUUCUGCUUUUAUCGCAUAUUCUAGCGCACGGUAUAGAGACCUUAAGCUGUACUGUGGCUUCUGAUUAGCACCAUCCUGCAAGCUUUCUUCAGAUAACCUUUUAGCUUCUUUGUAAAACCAAACAAUGUUGGCUACUAACUUACUGUCAGAUCCACGUCCACCUAAAAAUCGUCUCACGAAUAUCUCCAGGUCAUCAUCACAUAUGUCAUCAUCCACAGCAUACUCUGUAAAUCUGCUUCGGAAUGAGAAUGGCAAGUCUCGCUUACCAGCAUCUGUGGCUGGAUUCAUACAAGCAAACAAACGGAAAUUCAAAUGUCUGGGAAUGCCCAUUACAUCCCCUCUCUCAGCUAAACAAAGUGAUCCUCUCACUCCUUCAAGAACACCAAUCAGCCUGCCCAAUAUCUCUGGUGGGGCUAAGUUCACUUCAUCUAGUAAAACCCAAUGCCCCUCCCUGAGGGCAGUCACAAACGCACCUUCAACAAAGGUAAAAACCAUUCCACCUGAAUGGAUCUGUUGUCGUAUCUUAUUCACUUUCGUCCUCAGACACGCACAGUUUUUGAGCUCUUCUUCUGGUUUCUUCCUCUUUCUACCAGAUCUAGACCUUGCUUCCCCAAUUUUACCUUCCAUGCGUUCAGUAAUUCUACCUUCAAUGCCUUUAAUAAUGUCCAAUAACCCAGUCAAAAAUGUAUGCCACUUCUUGGCUCUAAAAUUAUCUUGCAGCCAUUUCAUAAUUUUUGAAUCAUCCUGGGUACCAAAAAUGAAGAGGACUCAUUACUCAAGCAACAUGCUAAAUUCAUUCCAUAACAUAUCUCGUUAGGAAUGAGUGUAGGAAGAAAUUCAUGAGUGACUAAGUUUUAAAUGUAAAGCUACCUUAAUCUUCAAAUCUCUUGCCAAUUCAUUGAAUUCAUUGUACACCAUUGUGCACAUAAGCUUUGGAUCAAUAGGCUUAAAACCACCCAAUAGAUCAACUAUAUCACUUUGCUGGCUCAAAUUCUGCAGAAAAGUAAACUAGAAAUUAUAGAAAACCACUACGAUAACUACGUGACUACAAGAAUGUAAGUCAAAACAUACCAAAACAGUGAGUUUCUGUCCGAUCCAGUGUGCAAGAUUUUGAACUAGUGUCGUUUUCCCAGUCCCUGUUUCUCCUACUAAGAGAACUGGCUCAUUGUACUCGACAGAGCGAGCUAUUUUCUCAAGUAACCGUGUAGAUGUGCGUGUUUCAACAAACCUAGACCGAUCAUGUGACUGAGAUAAAAAAAAAGCAGAUCAACAAGAGGCUUCAAUAGAUGAAUAAUUGUAUAAGAAAGAAGGGCGUGCUUAUAAACUAACCGCAGUUUCACCAAGUGGAAGAGAAACUCUACCAAUUUUUAGAAUCCCGGAAAAUUCCUGCAGUUCAAUGAAUAUUUAGAAAAAAAAAUCUCAAAGCAGCAAGCUAAAACACUGUCAAGGAUACUUAGGUACCUGAAUUGGGGGCUUAUCCUGAGAUUCUGGAACAGCGACAUUCCAAAUACUAGCCACAAUCUCACUUACUGCCACUCGGUUUUUAACUGACAUAUUAGACGCAGAGAAUAUAUCUGCUGCCUGAGGAUAUAGCACAAAACGCCAAAUUAAUUACAGAAUAUUAGAAUAAGACUCUAAUCCAAGUUAACUUUAACGAAACAGACCUCCUGAUAAACUGCAUGGCCAUCAUAGGAGGGCAGGCCAUGAACUCGUUCACACCACUUGAGCAGAUCUCUGGAAAUGAUGACAAUUCAGAAAGAAUAGAAUGAAAAAUCCAUUAAUAACAACAACUCACAGUCAUAGAAAUAUAUAUGCCUACCUCAGUGAAAAUCUACUUGGAGAACUGAAAGUAGCUGAGUUUUCAGUUGUUGAACUAGAAAAUUGGGGACGAAGAGCAGAGUUGAUGGUUUCAAAUGUUUCUGCAAAGAUGGAAUAGUUUCACUGUUAGUACAGAUUCCAUGUAAAGGGGUGUAUGUGCAAGAGGAACCUACCAAUAAGCUUCUCUGCAACAGGACCUAGGUUAGGAUACCUAGCACCCAGGAUACUUUGCAAGCUCUCACGAUCUGGUGGAUAUACAACAAUUCUCCUCCAUAGAGGACUCAACGAAUUUCCAGCUACAUCCAAGAAAACCAGACAUAAAAAUAAUAAGGUGUUUUGAACUGAACCUUAUUUGCAGCAAGUAAAAGAUGGGUUUUCUUCAGCUCGAUAAUACAGAUAGUUAUAAGACCACAUAAGAGCUUUAGUGUAGUAAACAUCAAUAAAAUUGGAUAUUUAAUCUACCAUGCACUUUGAGCUAGGUUGGUUAUUUGCAAAACGGCCAAGCUGAAUAAUUAUUAUAACAGUCGUUUAUUGAGCCUCUGAUCCUACUAGCAUUUGGUUUUACGCUUCAAGUAAUAAACUCCCUAAAGUUGCAGGUUUCAAGCUUAUACAACUACAAUAUCCUUCAACCUAAUAAGUGUCUGCAAGACAUACCGUCUCUGAUGUGUGACACACUGCAUUCAGGUGUCGAUAUAGUUGAAAACAGUUGGAAAGUUUCUGCUAUCCGUAUCUCCUGCAAGCAGAUUAAAAGUUAAGAAGCUCUGAAAAUUGAAUCAAUCUCUCAAGGAAAUGAUACGAGUACCUAACACAGAGUUAUUCAAAAGUUGUGGCCCUAGAAUAUAUUUAGGUAUAUGAUAAGUAACAGAGCAGCAAAAAGAGAGUGUAUACCUCUCCUUGACUGGUCAAGAAUGAGCAAGACCCUCCCAGCAAAGAUGACAAGACGAGGGGAACAUCUGAUGGAGCUUUGUCUAUGUCCUCAAGAACCACCCAGAACCCAUUCAUAAUCGCCUGCCAAGACAGAAAAAAAAAAACAAAAAAAAUAUUGAUGCAAUCGUAGGAGGACGGAUAGAUACAAAAAAUAGGCUGCCAUAAUUCCACAAACCUGGGUAAGUGAGCCAGGCUGCCAUCUGAAUUCGCCAGGUUGAUCAGUACACACAUAAGUGCCAACCAAUGUUUUCCCAUCAAGUUGAUCAUCCAUGUGGAUAAAUACAACUAUCAAAAUUAUAAGAGAGGCAUGAAGAAAAACAAAAUAUAAUGAGACAUAACAUGGUUUAAGGCCUUCAUUUUAACAGUCGAAAUACUCAAAUGUAUUUACUAUGCAUAGCAACAUCUCAAGAUAGUUAUUUUUCCCUUCCAAAAAACUAGAAAUUUCUCUGAACUUUAGCCAACUAAAAAAUUAUUUGAGAGCAAUAUACGUAGAUAUUAAAAUUAUAACAUACCAUGGUUACCACUUUCAUCAGCCAACUUCCUAAUGAGGGCAGACUUUCCAGACCCCGAGGGACCAUACAGAAGAACAGGUCGCUUUUGACUAACAGCCAAUGAGACCAUUUCAAAAGAUUUCUUCACCCUAGAGUGGAUUUCAAAUGGUUCAGAGAAAGAAUUGACAUCCCUGAAUUGAAGAGGAAGGUGGAAUUCAACCCAAAUAAGAGAACAAUCACAUUAAGUACAACGGGGAUAAAUGGUGAAAAUGAUGGGAAGGAACACAAAGAUAACCAACCAGGUGUCCAGCCUCCGAAUCUUCAUCUGUGGCUCAUCUGCUUCUAACCCUGCUGAUUGUCGCUUGUUAAUUCCAGGUACAAGGGUAUUAAAUUGUUGCAAAGACUUCAACGCUGUGUAUGUAGGCAAUUGAAUGUAUAAUCCAGCCUUCUCUAUUUCUAUAUCCUGACAAAAUUCCUCCCAGCUGAAUGUAUCAAAAAAAUUAAACCCUUAGAAACAAAACUUCAGACGAAAGUGAAUUAGAAGUCUUGAGUAUAGCUAAAAGUGGAUUACCGUAGCAAGCACGAAAGUGCUUCUUCCUCUUCAAAACCAAAACAUCCUGCUAAUCUGUCACUGCAUCUCAAAACAACAGAAAGAAUUUGAAUCCCACACCACACAGCAUCUCGAUACUUUUCCAAGAAAUGCCUUUGUUGUCUAGGACAUUCUGAGAGCCUUUUCAUGGAGUCCAAGUAACAAGACCAAUCCCACAACUUAGAGAAAACUUCAGGUCUAAUGACAAGAAAACGAUAUGAUACUCGAAGACAAAGCAAGUACGCAUCUGUAGCCUGAUUCAGGGGGAAAAAAUAAUCAAUGUAACUGGCCAAAGACUAUGAAGUGGAUAGGAAUAAUAACAUAUGAUGCUCUGACACCAAUAAACGUCAAAGAUAACAAGCAUACCUCCAUGCGCGACUCAGAAACUAUAUCUUUCACAAGAAUUCGCUCGUAUGGUGGUGGAGCUUUCUCAAAAUAAUUUAGAAUAGACCUACAAAAUUAAGAAAGCUUCCGUUGGGAGACUAUUCAAGCUGUUUCAAUUAAACCAAUUUAACUUCUGAUCUCAUCAUGCAUAUUCUUUCUAGCUUCGGUAACAAAGUAAAUAGUCAUCUUACCCUAACAAAGACGUAUUGAAAUGAAGCGCACGACUGAAGGCCAAGCAAGCACACUCAUGAAGCUCCAACCUUUGUCCACGCCGGACAUAAAAAUCAAUCACACUAAUACCUUCCGUCAUAGCAUUAUCCAAAACUGAUGACACAUCGUCUGAGUAGUCAAUACUUGACUUAAGAUCAUCCACUAGACGAAGAAGACCCACCACUCUAUCUACAACAUUUCUUAUUAUUGGAAGGAAGCAAUGAACCAACGGAACUGUAAACUCCGGGUGAAGAAACGCAUCCCCUAAAGCAUGAAUCACCUCUUCGUUAUCCACAACUUCUCCUCCCUAAACAAAACCCAGUAGCCAUAAAGACAAAAAAUUGUUCAAAACAAAGUCAAGCCCAUAAUUCUGGGUCAAAUUUGAAGUAACAAGUACAAAACUUUACCUUGCUGAGAAUCGAAGUGAAACAUGGAAAAGCUGCGACCUUUGGACAACGUACAGAGAACGUCUCCAAGGCAAGUUUAAGGUUGAAACUCCCAUCAAUAGCCAUUGAAACCUGUUGACAAACAAAAAAAAACAAAAACAGAGAGAUACAGAGCACGAAAUUAGGGUUUAGGGUUUAACGCCGAAGGGGAAGAUUUAGGUUUAUUAGUCUCUUUUCGUCAAAUCCUCCAUUGACGGUGAAACUUGAAAUCGACACGAGUUGGGAUAUGCAGGCCCGGCCCAAAUAGCGUGGGCAGAGGGAAACAUUUAGAUAAAAAAUAAAAGGCCCAUUAUGUUUUUGAAAAAGUGUAAAUUGACCCAAACUUUUUAAAUAAAAUAUUUAAAGGGCCUUUGUAUUUUCAGUUUUUUCAAAAUAUUUUUUUCUUCUUUUACAGAAAAAGAGGCUUUAUAUUUUAAAAAGUUCGGUUUCCUUCUCUCUUCUCUCUCUUUCAUCUUUCAGAGAGAAAGAAGUUUUUUCGUUCAGGAUUUGCCGGCGGUUAUUCUCCACUGAUGUUGGUUCCGCUUGAGGCACAAUUCUCGUCUUUCUGCAUCAGCUUUCUCAGUGGUGUAGGUUGGCUUUGCUUCCGGCGUAGAUGGCUUUCAUAGCAUCUUCGUCCGGCUUUGUUUCUGGCAUCGGUGGUUUUGUCAACACCGGUGGUUGGCUCUGUUUCUAGCGAUCUCGUCGCUUAUCUCUCUAGCGAGUAUUGGCUAGCUUUUGCUCUAGCUUUUGUUUUUUUUCUUUAGACUCUUUCGAUUUCCAAUUAGUUUUGGUUUUCUUUGGCUCUCGCUAGUUUUUUCUCUUUCUAUUGAUCUAAGUUUCUAAUUCUUCAAUCCUUCUUUGUUUAAAGGGCUUGAUUCGUUCUUCAUGCUUUCUAGGUUUUAAAAUUUUAAGAACGAAGUUGUAUUGUUGGAUUGAUGUUUCUCUUAGUUAAUAGUUCAUGUUGAAGUAAUUGGGAGCUGAAUUAAAGAUCGAUACUUUGGAUUCGAUUGAAUUUUCGUUUUUAGGUUUGAUGACCUGCAAUUGAAGAUUGAAAGCUUGUCGAUUGAAGAAGAAGAAGAAGAAGAUUCAAAGAGUCAUAUUCUCAUCAAAGCUAAAAUUGGAAUCUCGCCAUGAUUUCUUUGGGCGAAGUUUGAGACUUGUCGAUAGAUCAAGUUCUCUGGUGAUUUUGGUCGGAUUGAAGAUUCCCGACGACACACAAUUCUGCCAGUGAACGGAAACUCCUAUCUCUUCCACUUCCCACGUGUCUAGAAGUCUGGUUACCAUUGGAUACGUGUUUCAUGUGCUGUCUACAACAAGCUUUCCUUCAAUUUAGGGUUUUUAGUUGGGCUUUUCUUUUAAUUUAGUGUUAUGACCUGUUAAUUUUGGCUCUGUAUUAUUUGGCCUUAUAUAAAUAAAUAAAACACAGUUGUUACACAAAAAAAAAAAAAAUUUAAAAAGUUCAAAAAAAAUAAGGUCAAAACUAUAUUUAUAAAAUAGUCCAGAUUUUAACUUUAAAAAAAAAAUUAUAAAACAAAAUUGAUGUACAAAAAGGUCCAAAAAAUGAUGAAGCAUGUGUGUGAAGAAAGAAUAAAAUGAUGAAGUAGGUUGGAGAUGGGAUACUAAGUCAUAGCACAAAUAAAUAAUUUUAUUGUAAUUUUGUUGUUAUUAAAAUUAUGUUUUACAUAUGAGAGGGUUGUAUUUUUCUUAAGAAAUAUUUGUUAUGUCGUGUUUGAAUUUGGCUUGUGACACAACGACACAAAUUAACUACUAGAUUACAAGUUGUAAUGGCGAGAAACUUUUUAUAUUUUCAGGGGAAGUCAAAUUAUUUGAAGUGUUGUAGAAUAUAUAUUGUCAAUUGGUAAUGGUCCAAAACAGCUGACCAUUUUGGAUAGUUAAAAUAGAUAAUUUUUUGUUGUGUAUUUGUAUAAAGGUAAAACUUACAAUUAAAAUUAAAAAUGCCCGCUUUUUAUAUAUACUUUUUUGUAGUGAAAAGGUUAAAAAGAUUAAAUUAUUUUGGAUAAACAGAUUUAAAAAGUUACCAAAAUUUUGUAAGAACUUUUUUAUGAUUAAAAGUCUACUUCUUAUACAUGACAUUUGUAUUGAUUGUACAACACUUGAUUGUAAAAAAAAAAAAUGUUGUUUGGAAAAAUUAAGAAUCCAGAGGUAGUGUUGUUGCCCAAGUGAGGACAUAGUACAAUAGUAGUAUUCAAAAUGCUAACAUGCUAAUUUUAAAAAAAUCUAAGAAAUCAACACUCAAAUCACUUAGUCUCAUGCUUGUAAACACAAAACCAAAUACAUCAAAUCUCAUGCUCAUUACAUUUCAUACAUCAUCUUAGUCCUGUGCUCUUAAUAGUUUGAUGUUUUAUAGAAAGAAGUUUAUUGUAAAUUCUAAUUAUCAAUUAAUUCAAGACUGUUUUAAGAGUGAAAAGAAAAAACUAAAAUCAUUACUUAUCAUGACAUGUGGCUAGGGAUGUCAAAAUGGGUCAAAAUUCAUGGGUCAACUCAACUCAACUCAACCCAUGAACCCUAAUGAGUUGAAAAUUUUGACUCAAAUGAGUUGAUGAGCCAAAUGAGUUGAUGAGUCAAUUGGUUUGAUGAGUAAAAUGAGUUGGGUUGUAAUGGUUAAUGGUUUCAAUGGUUUACCCAAUUAACCCAUCAAGUUUUGUAAAAUUGAAUUAAACCAACUAAAAUCUCUAAACCAAUGUCAAUUUAAGUUUAACCAACAUAUUUAAACCAAUUUAAUAAAAUUAAUAUUUUUCCAAAUUUCUUAAAUAUACAAGCGAUGAAAUUGAUAAAAAGUAAACUCGUAAUUUUUCCACUAAAAAAGAUAAACCCGUGAUUUUCCCGCCAAAAACGUAAAUCCAUAAUUUUCCCGCCAAAAACGUAAACUCGUAAUUUUCCCGCCAAAAACGCAAAUCCGUAAUUUUCCCGCCAAAAACGUAAACUUGAAAUUUCCCGCCAAAAACGUAAACCCGUGAUUUUCCCGCCAAAAACGUAAAUCCGUGAUUUUCUCGCCAAAAACGUAAACUCAUAAUUUUCCCGCCAAAAACGUAAAUCCGUAAUUUUCCCGCCAAAAACGUAAACUCGUAAUUUUUCCGCCAAAAACGUUAACCCGUGAUUUUCCCGCCAAAAACGUAAACUCGUAAUUUUCCCGCUAAAAAUGUAAAUCCAUGAUUUUUCCGCCAAAAACGUAAACCCGAGAUUUUCCUGUCAAAAAUGUAAACCCGUAAUUUUCCCACCAAAAACGUAAACCCGUAAUUUUCCUGCCAAAAACGUAAACCUAUAAUUUUCUCGCCAAAAACAUAAACCUGUGAUUUUUCCGCCAAAAACGUAAACCCGUAAAAAGUGGAAUCCGUAAAUAUUCUAAGUUUGAUAAUGAUGAAUUAAUAAUAUUAAUUAUUUAUUAUUGUUUUAUAAUAAUAAUUAAUUAAAUUAUUACUUAAAUGGGUUAACCUAUUUAACAACUCAACCCAUCAAAUUAAAUGAGUUAUGGGUUGACCCAACUCAUUUAACAAAAUGAGUUGGGUCAACCCAUAACUCAUUUAACUCUAAACUCAUUUGAUUAUGAGUUGAGUUGGGUUACCCAUUUUGACAUCCCUACAUGUGGCAAAAAGAAUAAAGUGUUAAAAUUGUUUCAGUCUUUAAUUUAGAUUAUUUUCAUCUUUUCACUAAUUUUUAUUGUUUCCUCUACAAUAACAAUAGAAAAAUAAAACUACUCAUAUACAUGAAUUGGAUUGUCUUUCCAGAUCAGAUUAGCAACCAACAUAUUAACACGUCCUCACACUAGGUUAGCUAAUAAUUCGUAUUUUGUUCUUUACAGCCUCACAGGUAGAGCAUAGUUGCAGAGGACCAACUGAAGCAAUCAGGUUUAGACACCUGAGAAUUCUUCAUCACUAAAAGACACAGAGCACUAAAUUUGUUAGUUGUACGCCGAUCUUGUUGCGGGCGAGAAACAGUCGUCACUUGCUGAUUUUUUCUAGAUGAUAUCAGUGUCGUCCUAACAUGAUCAUCAUAUUUAGAUGAUAUUGAUAUGCUUGUGGGUUUACGCUUCUGUUCUGGUAGGUUUAUAGAUGUCUUCGUAUUAUCAAACUGAUGAAGAUCCUUCACAUGUUCUACAAAGACGUAGACUCUCUGAUAAUUGCUAAACCAUUCAGAGUCUUCUCCAACACCUUGAAUUUCAACACUUAAGAGAGUGUUAUUUUCGGGAUUAUAGUAGAAAACAUAAAACGGUUUACAUGCAUACAUCUUCGCCAAAACAAUUUCACCUCUAGUAGUAACCCCAACAAAGGAAAGAUUAUAAUUAACCUUAACAACAUUAUUAUCAGGCUUCAAAGUGUAGGCAUACUUCGACCAUUCCUCUUUCUCGAGAUCCUCUAAAACCCACAUAGAUAACUCAAGAGGAAAUCCACCUAAUUUGUCCUUAUAGUUUAUCAAUUCAAAAAAACAUUUUACCAUAUCAUGAUUUACAUGGAAAAACUUGAAUUUCUCAAACCUAACAUCAAAACAACCUAUCACAUCAUUCGAGCUGUCCUGUGUAUCGUAAGCUAUGUAAUACAAAACUCCAUUAAUGCAUAUCGGGCUUUGCCCACAAGGACGAUACCUUAAGGAACUUUGGAUACUCCUCCACUUAUCAUUUUCUGUUCCUAAUGUCAGAAUAUAAUGAUUGUCUAGAAUGUUAAGAACCAAAACCUUGAAUUGCUUGCCAAUCGGGUCAAACCCUAAAUCGCCAAAGAUUCCUGACGGUUGAGGUGGUAAGAUCGCAUAUACUGUCCUGUGCUAGGUUUACAUAUCACACACACUUCAUAGUUACCCUCUUUUGACAUCCACACAGUACGUAAAUAUAUCAAACCAAAAGCAUAGCUAGUCCCGUGAUGUUGAUGUUGUUUUAUUUCAGAAAGCUUCAUAUGAAAAUCAGCGGCUACUUCAAGAGAUGACUUCUCAUAUGGAUUCUUAGGCUGAGGCGACGAGUAGAAGCUCCACUCACCGCCUCGAACGAUCCCGAGUAAGAGACGUGGAUUAGAUGAGGACCUGUUAACGAACAACCUGGUGAAAUCUUGACUGGCAAGCAUGGACGACCAUAGCUUCGAAACGCAGUGAAAUCUCGCGAUGGACUUUGUAGGCAGUCUCGAGAGUAUAUCAAGAAUCAGAUCAGUUGGGAUGGAAUCUAAGGUUUCUCCUCUAUUCAUGAUCGUUGUAUUAGUUUGCUUGCGGAAGAAAGAGAGAGAGAUAUGAAUACAAAUCUGUUAAAAUUUGACCUAAUUAGAUUAUGUUAAAUUGUUAAUCAAUCUCAUUUAUGGUCGGCACUGACCAAGGCCCAAGAAGCCAUGAGUGUUAAGUUUUAACCAUCCUUUUUUUGGCAGCGGGCCUUAAUUAACCAUUUAACUUCAUCAGAACUUUUAACAGUGUGAUUAGCACUUGCGCGGAGAUUCGGAGAGCUUUUUUACAAGAAAGCACAGUAGAAAAAUCAAACAAUGUAUAAAACCAAUUUCAACUUUUAUCCCCAAACCAGUAAUCACAGCAAUUGAAGUGACGCAUAAAGACAACACAAAUGAAUCAUAAAUGUUUUACAGUAAAAUUUAUAUAUAAUCCACGUCGCUCUUAUUUUCAGCAAUUGUCUCUUCCGUUACAAUAACAUCAGCUCCAACAUGUUCCUUGCUAGAUUCAUCCUCGGGUGACUUUUGAAUCUGUUGCGGUUCAAGAUCAUCUAAGGCUGGUGACUCUACCUCAGUUGAAGCAAGUUUGAUAUCAGUUCCAAUGUUUUCAGAUUCCAAAUUCUUGCUUUCAACUGAUUGUUCGUUUAUUUCAACAGGAUGGUCACCAGAUGAGGUUUUGUCAUUCUGGCUUGUAAGCGCGUCUUCUAUGAGACAUGGCUUUACUGUUUCCUCUUCAACCUCUUUGCUUUUGUCAACCGAGUCUUCUCUUGUGGUGAAACAUGGCUCUACUGUCUCCUCUUCAACAACCUCUUUGCUUUUAUCAUUCGAGUCUUCUCUUGUGAUGUCUGUGGCAUGGUCAGAUGCAAGAUGUUGAUCAUCAGUUUCUUCUGCAUUUGAUUCAUCAUCCUGUAUAGAAGACCUCCCAGGAAGAUCCGGCUCCUCUUCAGCAACACUUUCUGUCUUAGACUCUGACCCUUCAAGAUUUGUGGAAGCAGGGAAAGACUGGAAAGUGUCCCAAUCAUCAUCAUCAUCAUCUUCUUCUUCUUCUUCUUCUUCGUCAGUUCCACUUUCUACUGUGCUAACCUGAUUGAAAGAUGUUGGCAUAGUAGACAACGCUUCUUCUUUAACCAUAUUAGCAGUAGAGGUAACUUUUUCAGGCGUUGCUACCACAGGUGCUGGUAGUUUGAUAUCCAUGGCUGGAACCAAGGAUUUUGGCUUCGCAAGGGCACUAUCUUUAGAGACAGAAGCACGAAUAAUAUCCUAACAUCAGAAGAACAAGGACACCAAUUAGAUAGUUAUUUCAAAUUUUUGCAUGCAUAAUGCUUAGCCAUGACACAUUUAAGGAAAAUAUAGAGAAAGAUCAGAUGAUUAAAAGGAUAGGGGAUUUGGGAUCCAUUAGAACUUUCGAACACACUGUUUCCAGGCAAGUAAAUCAAAUCGAAUGCAUAUAACAACCUGAAGCUGCUGCCGGUGUGUUACUGGAAGCGACAGCAAAACAUCCUUAAAGUGAACAGCCGAGGAAGGCAACUGAGCUAGAUGAGAAACAAGCCGCACAGCUACAUUUCUUAACUCGAGGACUUCCUGGUAUUAUCCAUAAAACAAUAAAAAGAAGACAUUUAAGCCUUAAGAGGGAGCAACAAAAUUUCUAAUACAGAAUUUACAUGUCGGGCUAGGAAUGGAACCUGAGAAACGCCAUCUGAAGUCUUAGAGAAGACGACAAGAACCACUUCAAGAAAAAGGCUCAUGAAUCCCUUCUGAAGUUCAUCUGUAAUUGAGUGUGUCUGAAGUAGCAUUAUGAACCGCAAGCAUUCACCAGCUAUGACCACCGAUUCCGUAUUCACAGGUUUCUAUCCAAAAGAAUAAGAAUGAAGUCAGUUAUCAUAGUUUUUACAUCUAAAAAGACGUCAAAAUUACUCUUUUCUUCUAAAAAUGUAAAUUCAGUGAUUUUGGAAGGAAGAAAUGAGAAAACAACCAGAAGCGCCCUCUGCAUCAGACUGACAAUAUCUCCAAUAAGUUCGCCGACAAAUAAGAUCACAAAACUUUUCUCCUCUGGGUUGUUGUAUCGCUGUACCAAGCUUUUUAGCACUUGUAAGACAGUAGCUUGAACCUACAGAUAUUUGAACUUAUACUAUUAAGAGCUCGAUAAUCAACAGUUGAACUAGCAUAUGACAAGGAGGCAAGUCUCAGAUACCUGAACAUUGGAAUCUUUAACAACUGCUGCUAUACUAAUUUGGCAACUCUUCAACAUGACAAUACAGAUAGAAUUGGUAUUAGUUUCAUCUACUGGACAAUCAAACUCGUAGGCAAGCUUAGCCAGUGAAAAGAGUUGUUCCAGACAGAAUACAAGCUUCAACUGAAGUAGCUUGCGUAACCCUGAUCUCUUGCUGUCCACAAGCUGGAUACCGUUGAUACAAUCUCUAGUCAGAUCCCCAACCAUAUGCAGACAAGCACCAAAAAUUGCUCUUAGAUGGAAGCCACUAUCGGCAGCAAAAUUAGUGCCAUCUGCAAUAAAAUCAUUUUGAUCAAACAGUUUCAACAAACUUUACAAUGUCCCAAUAAAGGAUGCAAAAUAUUUCAGUUGCACAAAUCGACUUCACAAUUCUGCAUUUGCAACUUCGGGGCUCACAUAAAACAGACAUAAAGCAUACAUGAUCUAUACUGAAUGUACCAUCAAAACGAAUCUAACAUUCUACCCUCUCACAGAACUUUGACACCAUCUGAUAACCACCCUUAGCCUAGUAGACAAAAAAUUAACCUAGCACCAACUCUAUAUAAACUUACUAUCUGUUCAUUCUAUACAAACUCUUAUCAUUUUAGCUUCCUAAAUAACAUCGGCCAUUGCUUAUCAUAUUUUCAUACCAGUAUAAGGCUUUUGCGAUGAGGCUCUGGUAAGCUCAAGCAAUAAAUCGUUGGUGGACUUCACAAUCUCAAGAGCUUUGGGUAGGUAUGCGUCAGUGGGGACUUGCCGGAUGCACUUGUAGCCACUUAAUAAAAAUGCCAAAGGCGCCGAAUUUAAACGAUGCUGCAUUUUACAAACAAUCAUCAGUUAGAUGUAAAGAGUACAACAAAUAUAACAGAAUUCGAGAAAUGCAACAAAUAAAGCAAAAAUCCCUCAAAGUUUAUAUGUUACCUUCAACUCAAAACGUUUCACUAGCGUCUUUAUGGAGAUAAAUAAAGGGGAAAGCAUAUUGUCCCAAAUGCCAUCAUCUGGCGAAAUUUCAUUAUGUCUGAAACAGAAAGGAAUUUUUGGUAAGGUCGUUUCCAAAUAUAAUGCAGUAUAUUUCUCUCUACAUAAUUUUAAACAGAAGUGAACACAGCUUCCAAAAAUCUCUUUAAUGCACACCUGUGGAGAAUUUUGAACAGGUACCCAAGACAGAGUUCAAUAGUCGAAUAGGCAAAUUCCUCACUUUCAAGAAAAUCUUUUGGACAGUUUUGUGAGAUCUGUUGGAAAAAAAUAAACUUCAUCAGAACUCGCAUCUUUUCUAACGCGUAAGGCAUAUAUAGUCCUGGAAAAUUAAUCAGGAAUCAGUGUUACGAAGAAAUUCAUCAAACAGUGGUAUUAUGACCAUGAAGUACAUAAUAUCUGGUGAUAUGCCUAUGGCAGGGUAACAGAAACAAGGGUAACUGAUUAUUUCUCCUACAGUGGAAUAGUAUAUCUUGGUUCCAACUAACUAAAGAUAAAAGAGAACAGAGAAGGAAUACAUAUAUACAAACGUUCUUGAACCUCAUUUCCAAUCUUAAGAAAAGUCAGUAAAUGCAAGCCAAAAAUGAUGCUUUAGGGUUCAAUAACAUCAACGAGUUGUGUACCUGUUGUACUACUGAUACUGCAAGAAUAUCCCAUGAACUGUCCAUAUGAAAGGAAUACGACAAAACCUGGAUGAGUUACAAAAGGAAAAUGAAUCCAAUUAGAGUAGUGUAUAACUAAUCAAAGCUCACAGCCUAUGGCGCUUGGACAUUGCUAAAGCAGAAGCCAGUUAGGAAAAAUAAGAAAAAUAUGGGGUGUAGUGGAUCUGCACAAAGCACAAGGUAUUAUGUGUUCCAAAGAAGAAGCAUGUGGCUGCUUAAACCAAUAUCAAAUACGCUUUAGUAGCUGAUGAUAAUAAGAACUAAGAUAGAAUGGCAUGAGAAGAAUUUAAAAGGAAACAAAAUAUUUGAAGUGGCUCUACCUGCAAUAGCUCUUGGCAGAGGUCUAUACUAAGAAAGCCACUGGAAAAAAAUCUUCCAGCAGAAAGAGAUUGGAAAACUGGUAAUGCAAUUUCAUAUAACUUUAGGCCCUGGAACGAAGAUUCGUUGAUGCUGGAGUCUCCACUAGAUUUGAUUUUAGCUGAGCUAAAAGGUAUUACUUGCAUACUAGAGGCUGGAUGCAUCCCUUGAAACAAGACAAGUACAGCGAAGCCCCAUAGAAACUGAAAAUCUUCAGCCUCUAGUGUAACCAUGCGAUGUGUAGAUAUCAAGGACCUAUCAGAAAAUUCUUCAACACUAUGAUUCACCGGAAUUGCAUCCAGGACUAAAGCUUGCAGGAUGACAGGCCAUGCCUCUUCCAGACAAGGCUGUAGCCUUCUUGACACAGUAUGUGGCAGGAUUUCAUCUAAGAAUGAGCACUGCUGCGGCAAGUUUAAGAUCUUAUUAGAAGAUAGGGGAGCACAAGGAUAGAAGUGUUCAGCUAAAGAGAGAAAACAGAACUAUUAGGAGUUGACUCACACUUUUCUUGAGGUUUUGACAUAAGCAAAUAUAACUGUAGCCCUUUAGGACCUGAAUCCAGUACCUCCCGAGAAGGUCUGAACUCUUGGAAAACAUUGGCAACAGUGCUUCAAAUUCUACUGGCACCUCACCAUGGUGUUUUCUCAAGAACGUAAAUAUAUAACACUUAAGCGAGGCAUGUGCAGCAAGAAGCCUGAUCUUGAUCUACGUUGCAAGAAUAAGUAUACUCAGUGAUAGCCAAAUAAAAUUAGAAAAUAAACCCUUUUGUUGCUUAUGCACCUUGCUUGUGACCCAUUCAGCAAACGAAGGAUAAUAUAAUUCGUUAAAGUCAUUGAGUGGACGUGAAAGUAGAGAAAAUAUGCGUUUGACUGCAACUUGAUCACUUCUUAUUAUUCCACUGGUCAUUAUCUGGAAUUAAACACAUUAAUUUAGUAACAUAAUGGCCAAAAAUCUGAAGGAAGAACUACGACAGAUGUCAUGCUCACCUUUGUGGCCAAUUGUAACCCAGCUUCCAGAAGAACAGGGCCAGAAUUUGCAUCCAAGGCAGUACGAACAGCAGACAGAAGUUGAGCCUAAGUGUGAAAAUAGUCGGUAACUAUUAUGUUCAUUAAAAAGUUUAAUUAGUCUUUGUUCGUUGAGAAAUAAUUUUGAAUGGGAGCACCUGAUACUGUUCCAGAAGAAGAUGUCCAGGAAGUUCAGGGUCGGCUACUAAUUUAAACUGCAUCAGUAUCAGACAAUUACAAAUUAUGUUUACUGCAAACUACCACACCACAUCACCAAGGUGAAUAUGACAAGGAGGCUAGCAAAAUAUUGGCGAGAAACACACAUGUAACUAGUACAAUUCAGAAAUCUUCCACUACCAAAAAGUCUCACCUUCUCAAGAAUAGUACUAAGAAGUCCAACUCCAAUUGGCCUCAUGUUUUCAAACUGAAUAGUGCUUAUCUGAAUAAUUUGGUAGAUCUUGUUAGAAUUCUCUCAGGGCAUUUUCCAGAAUACUUGAAAUGGUUCUUUACAAAGUAAUUCCUUUUGUUUACCUGAUAAGCAAGAGAUAUUAGCUCUUGUAGUUGAAGGACUAACCAGUCACCUGAGCUUUGUCUAUUAGAAGCAAGAUUCCUCGCCAAUAAAAUAUCAAAAUGAGCAGCAUCAUUGCCUACAGCCUCUGGCAAAAGACUCAAACACCUACAGUUGAAAAUCAAUUGGGCUAAUUUAGAACACGAACAAAUAUAAACUCUUAUGCAGUUUGACUGAGAGCUGCAACCAUUAAGUUAUUAAGUGCUCAGGAUUAACUAAACGUUCAGAUUUCAUUUAAUAUUGGCUCAAUGCUGAAACCCUUGAAGAACUUGUGAAAAUUUGGUUCUGCGUCAACAUACAUUUUUGAAAUAUCAGUUGAAAUUUUAUUUUCCAUCAAAUUUUAGUUAUGGUCACAAACUACUUCAGAGCAUUAGUUAAAAAAUAUUUAUGUCAACAGUAUUCACUAGAGAGGUAGGGUAAGAACAAAGAAACAUCUCCCACUUACUCAGCUGCAAAAACUCUGGUUCGAUAUCUCAAGGUUUUGUCUUUAUCAGGAUUGGCCCGUAUAGAUUUCCCACUAGAGCUAGAAACCAUGUCUUCAUCAUCAUCGCCAAGGUUCUCUCUUGUGUAAGCAGGAUCAUUUUCUGCAAUGCUCGUUUCAGCACUCCUUCCAGCGGAUGCUGCAAGGGCCUAUCAGCAGAGUAAGUAAUAAAUCUCCAUUGAUUGUGGGAAUAAAAGGCAGAUCUCGAGAUAUAAUAGCAGAUGAAAAUUCAAAACUGCUAGUAACAUUUUGAACAAACGGCAGCAAUCAUGAGAAAACAAAUAAAUUGCCAUGGUCCCAUUUCAGAUAGUUCAUACUGCAGCAUGAAAAGUCCAUAGAAAACCAAGAUUUUAGUAUGAAAAACUCAUUGCUAUUACCAUGUUGCGGCAUAUCAACAUCCAUCGAGAUGGGCGUGAUGGGCAUGUUGCAUAAAGCAGGCGUAUCAAGGUACUACGGAUCAGGUUCCCAAUCCUACAAGAGCACAACAUCUCUAGGUCAUCAAUAAAGCAAGUUAAUCAAAACCUUACAUAAGAAAUUAACAUUCCAUAAAACAACAACAUUUACUGAAAGAACAAUUUCUUACUCAGAAUCAGUUUCUUCAUCCAACAUCUGAAAUAAGUUAUCCUCUAUUUGCUCAUCAAUGACAGAAACCUAAAACACACAAGAAUGCGAUAAAUUCCGAUGGUGCCAUUAAUUCUAAGACGAUGAAUCUGGAAAUAAAAUUUUGGGUCAAAGCAUGCGGUUUACCGGGUCUUUCUCAACCAGAUGCCGAAGAGUUGACACAGAUAGACGCCUAAUUAUUGGCUGUUUUACAAAAAAAUGUAAAUAGUUUUCAUAAGGGGAAGCCCUUGAAGACUAACCUAUGAAAAGAAGAGAUAGCAAAAAUGAAAAACCUGUCUUGAUGCCAGCGUCAUUAAAAGAUUUUUUACAUGUAUAUGUACUGAAACUGCUUGUGGAGCAAAAAGAAUAAGCUGCUGGGUAAAACAGACGCUUCUGAAAAUGUUUAGAUUUACAAUAAAAAUUAAGCUUGAUACAGGAUAGAGAUAAUUCAUAUAGUAGUAACAAUGGAUUAAAAUGAUGGUGGCAAAGAGAAAAGCAUUCACAUACUCAAGUAGUGUUGGAAUCUCUUGCCAGGAACUAAUCUCUGCAAUAACAGACUGCAAAAACUUUAUUUUAGAAUGAGAAAAACAGAUGGCCUUACAUACGAAUGCAUGCACCUUCCUUUAUUUAACCAACAAGGCCAGACAUAGGAUGCAUAAUUUACUGAAAUGGAAGGUUGGAAGUUUUGCGGUAACAAAAUUUCAAAUGAGAAAACACCAUUUUACAUACUGCAUGCAUCUUACUUUUCUCAAAGACAAGGUUGGAAGGUCCAGAAUAGUACCUUGCAGCGUGAAAACAGAAUGCUGCCAGGAGAAAGCUCAGGGCCAAGGACAGCAACAAUAGCAUUAAUAAGGCGUCCAAUGCCUUGAGAAAGAUCGAUCCAUCCACUUUCUUCAGUCAACAAAAUGUCCAAGGCAAGUCCUAAUGCUGCCUAAUAAUGAAUACAGAAUGGGAAUGAUAACAUGACACAAUGGAUGGAGAUAUCAAAUCAAGCUGGGAAAAUGAAGUUAGCAGUUAUAACCAUGCACCUAUUGUAAGGCAGAUAAACUUUCUUAAACAUUAAAAAAGUUGCAGCUAUUGAACUGCACCAGAGAAUUUCUCUCUCUGUCAAGCAUUAACAGAUUCAGGUGAUAACCAAGUAACUCAUUUAGCCAAUUUUAAAGAUACGCAGAAUUUCAUUUUAGUUUGCCGAACUGGCAACCCGAACACCAAAAUAAGAUCCUUUAAAACGAAAAAGCAAAAUAUGAAAACUGUGCAUUCAAAGAUCUUAAUGAACCACGAAAUUGUUUACCUGAACAUGAGAUACGAAUGAUAAACCAGCAGCUUCAAUGGUCAAAAGAAGCCCAUGCAAGGCCCAUAUCUUAAGACCAAGAACAGAGGUUUUGGUCAAAGAUGAGACUGAAUUAACAGUAGCAGGUACUAAGGACGACAAUGCCAUUCCUCCUGCACUGCACACCAUGUACAAAAUAAAUUCAAAAUAUAACAAAUCAACAUGUCAUAGUAGCCUUCAAUAUGUAAAAUAAUACGUAUCUGCGAAGAUUGAUAAUAUUUUAACUUAAUUGUUGUUAAAGCAUCACAACCAGACACAUAUUAGCCUACUUUUCAAUUUUUAUUGAUAUUCACAACAUAUCAAACUAGUUAGAAGCCAACUCCACCUGUGAUGAAUGCAGCCAAGUGCAAGAGCAAUUGAUCCACCAUAGUUUGGAUCUGUAACUCCACUUAGGUCGCCAAGAAGAACUCUGGUCUAUUUAUCACCAUGCAAAAACAUAUGUGAGAAAUAAAGGAAAUGUUUCACGUCCUAUCACUAUAAAUAAAUAAAAAUAUCUAGACCAAGAAAACCGGUACUGAAUUUUUUCACAUUUAGGAAACAAGUGAACAAAGCAAAAACAGAGACAUGCUAUACUUUAAAGUAGAGUCCAUAAGCAUCCAAUUCUAAGGAGCAUAAAGAAAGUCACAAAAGGUUUUUACGUAGAGAAUUGCAUUGUGGACAGACCAUUCUUGCUGUAAAGAUGUCAUUUCCAAGACGAGCUAGAAGACCUAGACCCUCACAUGCUGCUCUGCGUUGUGAUGCACAAAUGUCUCCCUCUGUUAGAAUAUUCUAUAGCAACAGAAACAUCAAAAAGUUAUAUAUAAGAAAACAAGUGAAUCAAUCUUGAGAUUAGGUUCACUAUUCUGAACUACCAUCCUUAUUGAAAUAAAAUACCUGAAAAAUGGCUUGCCCUGAGCUUAGUACUUCUGUCGUUAGUUGCUGAGGACGUAGAGCAUGCAAAGCCUGUAAAAAUAAAUUAAAUAUGAAGUUCUUAAUGUAACAGAACCAUAUUAUGUUCAUUAACUACAAGCAAAUGAUCUGGAUUCAGAUACAGAUGAUUUAUUCAGCACAGCAGUCAUUACAUUGCAUAGGCAUGGUAGCACAACCGUUCCAUACCCAGAGAAUAGAGCUUGGUUCAUUCUUCAAUGAAACAAAACUUAUCCGCUCUAUAUAUAGACCAAAAAUGCGUAUGAUCCUUUAUAUAAUGUCAUGUUAUAUGUAAAUUUUAUAGGUUUCCAACACCACCUGAGUUCAGCCCUCAGUACACUUCUACACGAGGUAGACACCAUGUUCGUACCUUUACCAUACUGCUAUCUUGACCGAUUUUUUCAAUACAGUUUGUUAACAAGCAAAAAAACUUGUAUACAAGUAUUGGAAGCACCUUUAAACCGGCAAGAAGUCCCGCACAAAUGUUAGUCAAGCUGGCUGUACGCCAUUGUUGCUUUUUUCCGGCUUUCAAACACUGUUGUAUGACCGAAAGAAGUGAGAGCAUCCCUUGGCUAUCCUGCGAAGCAAAUGUUACAAUCACUUCAGACUAUCAAAAUAGCAAAUGUCAUAGCAAACAAGGACCUAUCUUGACAUAUAGUAAUUACAAACCUGAGAAGCAAACAUGAUACCAAAGCAGAGAACCAUCUGAUUCACCAAUGUCUUUUUCACAGUCUCUGGCUUCAUGAUUACGGAAAUUUUGCAUAAGAGUUGAGCAUAAAUAACAAAGACAAGCCGGUAGCCAAAUAAAAAACCAGCACAACCACUAAAACCAAAUUUCACCAAAAAGCCAUUGGGCUUACCAAAGGAAAACUAGAAACUUUACUUUCCCAUACACUUGGUGCUAGACCAUCUUCCCCACCUUGAAAAUAGCGAAGUUCAUCUUCAAACCAAUCCCUGGAUAAAAAUUCAUAAAAAGUUACAUCUCCCUGGGGAGGACUAGGUUUCUGCGGCAUGAUCCGGAAUACGUGAGGAUACAAAUGCAGAAAAAUUCCUUAAGGAAUGCAAACCAGUAUAUACAGAUGAACAUAUAGUCACCUGCCAGGAAUCCAAGGACCAAGCCAUGCAUCUCUUUUGUCAAGGAGCGACUUCAAGCACGAGCUUUCCUCGAAUCCGGAAGGAUCCCUUUCAAUUAAACAAACAUGAAAGAAUGACUACUUCAGUGAUUAACAACGAGAUUUAUCAGGCCAUGUCCUUAUCAUUCAUUUAUGACAACUUCAGUGAUUAACAAAGAGAUUUUAGAAAAACAAGCAGUUAGGGAUGAAUAUUGUUACCUAUAUGGUGUGGUGCAUAGCUGAAUAAUUUGCUGAUGCUCACUUUUAUAGGCCAAGGGAUCUGGGAUGGAUUGAUAAGCUAUCAAUAUUCUUAUGAUGAGUAUGUCGACCAAAGUUUUGACAUCAGAAAACCGUUUGUUGGCCAUUGUCGAUACACAAGACAAAGCGCUGUUUGGAAUAAGAUGCUGUCAACUCACUCAUCAUACAGGUAAAGGAUAUGAAACUUAUUCUCAAAUGGAAGUAGCCAAAUUAUUAAAAUGGCAAUCACAUGAAGACAAAAAACUGUAGGAAGCAUCAGUAAUGUUGUACCUACGGAGGUUUGCCAGUACGGGUUGAAGUAGAAUACCAUCAUUACAAGAUACAAAACGUCGCACAAAAGCUGUGAGUGCAUCAAUUGCGGCGGACCACACACUACAACAAGGAGAAGACUGAUCAUGUACUUGUUAUCAAGAACAAAAAAGUGGAGUCAUCACUUUUAUUGCUCUUGGACCUGAAGUAAUCAGGGAGAAGUGAGGACUUAGCCCUCUCAAACCAGCCACUAAUGUGUACAAAAUAAACUACGACCGAGUUUGGAGACUAGUAUAUGCGAGAAUUAUGCUAAAAGCGUGUGCAUUGUUUAGAUAAACAUGGUUUGCUUCCAGGAGCUAAAUUAAAAUAUACAACAUAGGGCAAGAAUAUUCAGACCUUGGCAUUUCAAUAAAAGCUUAAUGCAUCACGGGCCAGUUACCUUAACAUAGAUUUUAAUUCUGCCUGUUGUUUGAUCAAGUGUUCUGGGUUUCCAGCAAAGACGUCAGUCCACAAGAUUAAUAUAUCAAAAUCUUGGUCUCCAAACUCCUAUAUAAUCAAACAGGAUUGCAUAAGAAAUUGAAUGCUCCAAACACAGCAGUUAAAGACAUAAGGAUUAUAUUACCUCCUUUGGCAUAGAAUUUAAUAGCGAUGAUAACAAUAACCAUCCAGCUUCCUUUUCACUUGAGGCAACUGUAACAUUUCUCCUUGAUUCUGUUAGCAUCUUCUUUGAAACUUCAAGCACCGACCUUGGCAAUCUGUGAACAAAACAUUACAAGAAAAGUAUUGCAACUGAUUAAUGGAAGUUCUGUAUUGGCUAUUCUACAAAAGUCAUGGCAGAUUGAGAACUACUCUGACUAUCUAGCACAAAAUAUAUCCUCUGUAAUUUUCAUAGUACGUAAAAGGUGUAUUGGCCAUGAGCUAGUUUGAUUAGGUAAGGAGCAAAUGACAAACUCCCAGAAACUAUUGAAAGUACUACGAGUUUGAAGGUUCAUCUAAUUGACUAAGGUAAUGAGAAAGGUAGUAAUUUACAAGAUUAAUGGGAAGAUUAGAAAUCUCACAAAGAUAAUAAUAACUAUGCAGCCUAAAUGUAAGAACCAAAUGCCCAGUAACUAAUUUGUUGAAACUAGCAUUAACGUUAAGUUUGAAUGCUGAAACAGUGAAUAAAGAUGUGAUCAUGGGGAGUUACGAAGACUAUUACCUAGCAGGGUAACCAAGUGAGAGUCCAGGCGAAAUGGAGACUAGAGCUGCCAAAGUUGCUGCUUGCCCAUGUAAAGAAGCAAGAUCAGUUUUCAAUUUGUCUCCCUACAGAAAAUGACAAUGGCAAAGUCAUUCCCCGUCAUCAAGUUGCUCCAGCUUACAAUAGAGACUGUCUAUUUAUAGAGACUUAAAGAUGAAGAACUUCAAUUAGAUGAAGGCCAAGGACGUCAUAAGCAUAUGAAGGGAAACUAUGAUG